rnacentral:lncRNA from 1 species
UCAAAGAGCACCGUCUGUGCAGCAAUUCACAAGGAACCAAACCUUAGAAUCGAUUUAACUCCAUGGGAUCUUAAGCUCAUUCAAUUUGAUACCAUUCAGAAAGGACUUCUCUUCCGCAAACCUUCAGAGGAUAACACCGAUACCAGCAGCUUGAACUUGAUCCACCACCUCAAGACCUCCCUUUCACGUACGCUAGACUACUUUCCCCUCGCCUAGCCACCAUCGAGCAUCGUGAUCACAGCAACACAAUUUCUGUUUACAUAAAUUGCAACAAUGCCGGCGCAGAGUUUGUGCACGCCAUGGCCGAUGGAGUCUCUGUUGCAGAUAUCAUUUCACCUGUUUAUGUUCCUAAUGAAACUGUUUACUCUUUUUUCCCACUAAAUGGAGUAACAAACUGUCAGUGUAUCUCCGAGGCCAAGCCGUUGCUUGGGGUUCAAGUGACAGAGCUUGUGGAUGGAAUCUUCAUCGCUUGCACUAUCAAUCACUCCGUUGUUGACGGCACUUCCUUUUGGCAUUUCUUCAAUUCCUGGUCUGAAAUCUCACGGGGUUCUGAUUGUAUUUCAAAAGUUCCAGUUCUCGAACGUGGGUUUCUCUCUGAAUCAGAAUAUUUUCCCAUUCGCCUCCCUCUCUGGAGCAUUGAACCUUCCGGAACUCGCACUCCACCGCCUAAUUUGCAACAAAGGGUUUUCCACUUUACGAAGGAAAAAGUUGCAAAACUCAAAGCAAAAGCCAAUGCUGAGAUUGGUAGUACCAACAAAAUCUCCUCUCUCCAAGCAAUCCUUUCCCAUAUUUGGCGAUCUGUUACUCGUAAUCGAUCUCUUGAUCCUGAUGAAGAAGUUCAUUUCAUGUUAGGAAUGGGAGUUAGACAAAGAUUGCAACCACCACUGCCACCAGAAUAUUUUGGAAAUGCAGCUCAGGUACUGGGAGAGUUCGCAUCCAUGAAAGCGAGAGAUCAACUUGAGCAAGGGCUUGGAAAUGUGGCAUUGAAAAUGAACAAGUUCAUCGCUGCGUACACAGACGAAAAGAUAAAGAACUUCUUGGAGUCUUGGGGAAAAAACCCUGAGAUCCUAACAUGGGAUAGCCUGCCGACGAAGAAUAAUGCUUGCUUCGUAAGUAGCUCGCCGAGGUUCAAUUUCUACGGUAACGAUUUCGGGUGGGGAAGACCAAUUGCAGUAAGGAGUGGUCCAGCGAACAAGGCUGCUGAGGGGAAGAUCACCCUGUUUGCCGGAGUGGAAGAAGGGAGUGUCGACGUUGAAGCUUGCUUUUUGCCUGGGACACUGCAAGGUAUGGGAAAUGAUACAGAAUUCAUGCAAUUGGUAUCUUAAUUGUUAAAAAUCUUCCGUGUUCUGGGGCUUUGCUCAUUAACCAUUAUAUCAAUGAAAGCUUACUUUUAAAUACAUUUAGGAUUUCAAUUAAAAUAUAUCUAAUUUUGAUAUUUUUGAAAAAUAAAGCCAUGGUGAAAUAAUUGACAUAACAUCAAUAUUAUAUCAGUAGUUCAGUGAUUUUUUUUUUCUUUUUGGGUACUUGCACCUUGCUGAUAUAGACUUUGUAAAUUAUUUUGAAUGCUUAACAUAUUUCUUUUAAUGUGAUCAAUAAAAGUUUUAAAAGCAGUCUAACAAAUUAAUGAUAAAUAAAUUUGUUUCAUAUUAAAAAUAAUUCUCGAUGACUUGAUAAUCCUGUGAAGAAGUUCCUUUCGAACUAUCGAUAGGAGUUAGAAUAAGAUUGCAACCAUCACUGCCGCCUGAUGAAUAUUUCGGAAAUGCAAUUCUAUAAAGCGGGAGAUCAAAUUGAAUAUGCGGCACUGCGAAUGAGCAAUGUUAGUGAAACUGAUAAAAUGUGAAGAACAGAGGAAACGAGUACAUGCUGUAACUAGGGGUGGGCAUUUUACCCGACCCGACCCGACCCGAAAUUUAUCGGGUCGGGUCGGGAUCGAAACCUGAUCGGUUUGAAAUUUACAAACCCGAUCGGGUUGUGAUCGGUUCGGGUCAAACCCGACCCGAUCCGAAUACCCGAUCGGGUUCUUAAAAAAAAAAAAAAACGUACUGACCUGAAUUGACCUGAUUUCAACCGACCCGAACUGACCCGAAUUGACCCGAACUGACCCGAUUUCAACCGACCCAAAUUGACCCGAACUGACCCAAAUUGACCCGAAUUGACCCGAACUGACCCGAACUGACCCGAACUAACCCAAAUUGACCUGAACUCAAUCCUACCCAUUUUAAAUCCAACCCGAUCCAACCCGAACAUAGUUCGGGUCGGGUCAUUAAUUCGGGUUAUGUUCGGAUUGUUCCUUGUCUAACCCGAACAACCCGAAACCCGAUCGGGUUGACCCGAACCCGACCCGAACCCGAUUUUGCCCACCCCUAGCUGUAACUAUGUAUUUGACAGCAGCUGAAUAGCUCACUCAGCUGACGUGGCUUAGUUAGUUAUUUUGAUUUAAGCAUUCUUCACAUGUGUGUAACAAAUUGCCAACAAUUAGUAACAAGUUGCUUUCACUUGCUAUAUAUAUGUAUAAUCUGUACUCAUUCGAUUAAUGAGAAGUUUUUACAAGUUUCCAUUAUGAGUUUUUCAUUCAUUUUCCUUUUAACUUUCUCGCUUCCCAAACACAAAUACUUGAGUUUCUAUCAUGGUAUCAGAGCCAUCAAUGGUGUUGUAAAAAAUUUUAAUAUACUCGUAAGCGCACGAAUGUAGAAUAAAAUAAUGGUAAUAAGGUCAAACCCACAGGGAUUAUUAUAAAUUAAAAAGUCUAAUUUAAAUAAAUUAAUAUUAAUUCUAACAUAGUUGAACAAAUUGAGUUUCUAAUAAAAUUUAACCAAUUAAACUAAGAAAACAAUUAAAACAAAGGAGAAUUUAAUAAGACAAAAAUUACUAAGGUUUCAGAAUCCACCACUAAUCAACUAGUAAUUACCUAAUUAUUAAUUAAUCCCCAAUUUUAGAGUGACAACUCGAAAUCAAUUUAUAUCAUCUCAUGGAUAUAACAAUUAAGCCCAAAUAAAAUUAUUCUUGUGUUGGUUCUUUUUCUUCUUAAUAAUAUGAUAUCUAAGCAUCCCAUGUAAACAUAUUGAAUAACAAAGAGUCAAAGUUUUCCGAAGCACUCUGUGUAAACAAUUUAAUGAAAGACACAGAAUCAAAGAUAAUCAUGUAUAAACUUUAAAGACUCAAGCAUAAAUUUAAUCGGAUAUUAAUUGUAACAAUCAAUAAUACAUGACAGAAUUGAUGAAAAAAUUUUAAUGCCCUUUUUAUCCUUAAUCUUUAUUCCUUCCCAAUUUGAACUUCUUCAUGCCCUUUUUAUCCUUAAUCUUCAAUUAAUUUCCUAUUCAAUAAAAUAAUUCAAUUAAUUAAAAAUAACAAAUAAAAAUAACUAGUAAAUAUGUAAUUACGGGUAAAAUAUGUAUAUAAAUUAUGAUCAUCAAAUGGCAAGCAUGAUUCAAUCCAAUACAUCCUCCUCUCCUUCAAAUAAUUCCCUACCUCAUAUCAUUCCUGCACCUCCUCCCAUUGGUCAUCCUAUGAUGACCAGAUCCAAGAAUGGCAUAUUCAAGCCAAAGUCUUAUCUAUGUGCUCUUUUAGCCUAAUCAUUUGAACUUUCCUCUGUCUCUCAAGCUUUAUCUGAUCCAUUAUAGUUCAAAACCAUGCAAGAAGAAUUUCAAGCCUUACAAGCCAAUCACACAUGAGACUUGGUACUACCUACUGCUCCUGUUAAAGUGGUUGGUAACAAAUGAGUUUUUAGAAUAAAAUACAACCCUAAUGGGUCAAUACUAAAGUACAAAGCACGACUGGUUGCUAAAGACUUCCAUCAGAUACAUGGUCUUCAAUUUUACAAUUGUGGAGCUAUGCAGAUCAACUCUUUUACAUAUUCAGAUUGGGCUUGUGAUCGGGAUGAUAGAAAAUCAGUAGUUGGUUUUGCUGUUUAUCUAGGUGCCAAUCUGGUUUCAUGGUCAUCCACGAAACAAUUAGCUGUCUCAAGGUCCAGUACAAAAGCUGAGUACAGAGCUUUGGCUCAUGCUGCAUCAGAGGUCAUUUGGAUAUAGUUUUUACUUGCUGAGCUAAGAAUUCAACUAAGUACUACACCAAUUAUGUGGUGUGAUAACCAGGGAGCAAUUGCCUUAGCUUAUAAUUCAGUUUAUCAUGCUAAAACAAAGCAUGUUGAGCUGGACAUUCAUUUCAUCAAAGAUAGAGUGGGAUAAAAAGAAAUAGCUAUUUUUUUUGUGCAUAGUGAAGAUCAAACAACAAAUGUCUUAACUAAGGCUCUUACUUUCACUUAGUUCCAUUGCUUGCGCAGUAAAUAAAAUGUUUAUCCCAGAAACACCAGUUCCAGAGGGGAUAUAAGUAAAGAUGAUAAUUUGUGAAGAAUAAAAGAAUGGAGUAAUGUGAAAAGCAGAAACUCCAGCUUAAGAGGGGAUGUUAGUGAAACUGAUCCCUUGGAGUCCUGGAGACAAAACCUUGUGGUCUUAACAUGGGAAAGCUAGAAGACGAAAUCUUAUUGGUUUCCAAAUAGUUCGUCGAGGUUCAAUAGCAAUGAGAAGUGGUCUAGGGAAUAAAGCUUAUGGAAAUAUCACUUUGUUUACAGGAGUGGAAGAAGGUAAUAUCGACAUUGAAGCUUGCUUUUUACCGGAGACACAAUAGGGUAUGGGACAUGAUACAGAGUUCAUGCCAUCUACGUGUUAACGUCUUUGGUGAUCCUAAAAUAUUACUUUCUAAUAAUUCAUUUACACGUUAUCACGUGUAAAUGAAUGGUAUCAUAAUUAGUUAAAAGCACACAAAUGAUAAAAAGUGAAUUCAUUACUAUAACUAUGCUUUAUUUAGGCACCUCAUGCAAUAAAUUAUUUCAUCUCAAAACUCAAUUUAAUAAUUAAUCCCAUGAACAUCCAUUCGUUAGAGCAUGACAACAAAAUUUCUGUAUGGCAUCUGUGGCAGAGCAUAAUAGCUGUAGAGAAAUGGAAAUUGAAAGGAAGGAGCUGGUAGCUUAUAACUGUGAUUCAAGUUUUUGCUUUAGAAUCUUUCAGAAAAAAAAAGUUUUUGCUUUAGAAAUUUUUUGACUCGACCUAGUAAACUGGUCAAUACCUCACGAGCUCAUUAAACUAUCAAAUUUGGGGCCCAAUUUGAUGGGCCUAGUUGGUUGCAGUGUUGGGUCUAGUUAGUCUCAACAAAUACUGGUCGUAGCCUUGUAGGCAGUUCGCAUUAGAGAUUUAUGAUGAUUGUAAUGUGUGAAUGAGUAAUAGAAAGCUCUAUUUAUUGGCACAAGGAGUAACCUUUGUGCGGUUGUGCAGAUAAAAAGAGAAAACAUGUAGUGGGUAAUAUGAAAUUAACAGUAAUAUGUUGUUAUAAACACGAUUAGAAAACUCAUGAUUUAAGCCAUAAAAGCCUUCAACUCAACACCAAAGUAUUCAGGGAACUACACUCAUGGUUUGAAUAGAAAUGCACAACCAUGGUUCUAAUACCAAUGGCUAAAAUAAUUUUAAGCUUUACGGCAAUGAAUCCAUUCAACAUAUUUCAUAAGGGAGAAAAACUGCAUUUUAUCUUGGUUGGCCAUGAAAAAGACUUGCUGGUCAGCUUGUUUCUUGCCCGUUAAUUCAACCUUUUGUUCUUGGCUUCAAUCUCAACAGCAAAAUCAAGCUCCUCAUUCACUGCACACACACACAAUUAGGAGAAAGGAGAAAAAGAAAGACAGUGUAUAAUGAAACUGCAUUUUAAAGAAAUGUGUAGAAAACAAUCAAAACCUUUACAGAAUUCUUAGUAUUUUUGUCAACACAAUACUUCUUCUUUUAAAGACAUUUAUGCCAUAGUACAAAACCUUAGCCUACAAGAUUUGUACACACAAAAUGAAAAAAGAGCCAAGUAAUUCAUGAAUAAAAAACAUAGAGCAAAGAAGGGAUAAGUAACAUAAACACGCACACAAAAUUGGCACAGAUGAACAAAGAACGAGUUGCAAGCUCUUUAUUACCGAAAGAAACGAGCCCCAUAUCAUAUGAUCUCCCUACAAGCUUUACAACGAGCUAUCAUAUGCUUUCUAACUCUCAAAGAUUAACAAGUUACAGGCCUUAGAAAUUGCCCUCGUAAAUUCAUUUUAAAGCUAAAUUUUCUUACUAUUCAUGUGAUGAGCAUAUACUAUAUACAUAUUUUACCCUUAAUUAUAUAAUUACUAAUUAUUUUUAUUUGAUAUUUUUAAUUAAUUAAUUAUUUUGUUGAAUAAAAAAUUACGUGGAGAUUAUGAAUAAAAAAAGGGCAUAAAGGAGCUCAAUUUCGGAAGCAUUAAUUAAUUGAUUUUCGGAGCAAUUAGGCAUAUUUGCAUGUGAAGCCAAGCCAAGGAAACCAAAUUAAACAAAUUAAUUCAUCCAUGCACAUGAAGACAAAGAAGAUUAUGGCCAUCACGUGAGAAGCAAUCACCAUUAUUGUUAGCAUGUGCAUGUCAUUAAAAAAGGAAUUCUAAUGCAAUUCUAAGUGGUGAGCACGUGUGAGAGCAAAACAAAUUAAAAGGCCAAGCCUUUCGGCUUUAGAAUUGGAAUGGUUGGUGGCUCAUUUUGGAGAUUAUAAAAAGAAAUAUGAACUUUGGCUUUUAAGAGGCCAACCGCGAGAAGAGAAAAAAGAGAGCAACGUUAGGCAUUCGGCAGAGGAGAAAAUAGCGGCAGAAGCUCUUUAAUUCUUUUAUGGUUGGUUUUAUUUUAUUUGUUGCUCUCAAUUCAAGUAUGUCUAGCUAAUUUUCUUUUACUGAGGUUAAAGAUGAAACCUUAUUCAAUGAAAUAAUUAUCUUUUUAUUUAAUGAAUUCCUUACAUGCGUGUUUUAAUGUUUAUGUUUUUUUAUUUUACAUGAUUAGUUGGAUGUUAUUAAAUCUUUUCAUCAAUUCUGUCAAGCAUUAUUGAUUGUUAGGAUUAAUAUUCAAUUAAAUUUAUGCUUUGGUCUAUAAAGUUUUUAUAUUAUUAUCUUUGAUUCUAUAUCUUUCAUUAAAUUGUUUACAUAGAGUGCUUAGGUAAAUUUUGACAUUUUGUUAUUCAAUAUGUUUACAUAAAAUGCUUAGAUAUCAUACUAUUAAGCAGAAAAAGAACCUACAUUAGAUUUAAUUACUUGGGCUUAAUUGUUAUAUUCAUAAGAUGACAUAGAUUGAUUUCGAGUUGUCACUCUAAAAUUGGGGAUUAAUUAACAAUUAGAUAAUUACUAAUUGAAUAGUGGUGGAUUCUGAAACCUUGAUAAUUUUUGUCUUAUUAAAUUCUCUUUUAUUUUAAUUGCCUUAGUUUAAUUAGUUUAAUUUAUCAUUGCCUUAGUUUAAUUAGUUUAAUUUAUCUUAAAACUUAAUUUGCUCAACUAUUUUAUAAUUAAUAUUAAUUUUAGAUUUAAAUUAGACUUUUCAAUUUAUAACAAUCCAUGUAGGUUUGACCUCAUUACCACUAUUCUAUUUUUAAAUUCGUGUGCUUGCAAGUAUAUUAAAAUUUUUCACAAUAAGUUUUUGGCGUCGUUAUCAGGGAUUGUGCCAAAAAGUCAGUUUAAUCUAGAUUGAUUUGAUUUUUCCACUAGUUAUAAUUUAAGUUGUCUUUUAUUUUUAUUUUAUUUUAUUAAUAAAAAACACAAAAAAUAUUUAUUUGUCUUUAAAUUUAUUGUUUGGUUGUUUGAUUUGUUAUAUUUUAAAUUCCGUUUAUUUUUAUUAUUGUUGCUUUAUUUUCCUUUCUUUGUCUAGUUAGUUUAUGAGUGUUUGGGAACGCGAUUCAACAAAUCGUUUGGUAAGAAAAGAGUUUAAAAUUGAUAGUAGUCGAGUUAGUUCUUCAAAAGUGAUGGAUGACCCAAAGAGAAUAUUGUCAGUACUUCCACCAGUGCAAACAGAGAAAAUCCUUAGAGAAUAUUUUUCACCACUUGCAGCCAACCAACCAUCUUGUAUUAUGUUGCCACAGACUACAGCAACACACUUUGAAUUCAAGCCCUCUGUCAUUUAGCUUUUACCAUCUUUCCAUCAAAAUUUUAAUGAUCAGUCAAUUAGGUUUCGUAUGUUCCCUUUCUCAUUAAAAGACAAAGCGGAAGCUUGGUUGAAUUCACUUCCUGCUGGGUCUAUUACUACAUGGGAUGAAUUAAGUAAUAAGUUCUUUACCAAGUUUUUCCCUAUGUCUAAAACAAAUGUCAUUAGGAGAGAGAUAAAUGAUUUUUGUCAAAGAGAGGGUGAACAAUUUUAUGAGUGUUGUGAAAGAUUCAAUGAUUUACUCCUCAAGUGUCCCCAUCAUGGUUUUGAGAAAUGGAGACUUAUACAGUGCUUUUAUAAUGGUUUAACUAUAUCAAAUCAUCACAUGAUAGAGUCUAUGAAUGGUGGGAGAUUUUUUAAUUUACAUGAAGGGGCUGCAUGCGAUUUCUUUAUUUUACUUUUUGAGAAUUCUCAACAAUGAGAUUUUUCAAAUCAAAGAAAAAAAUGAUCUCAAGUUUCUAGGAAAGUCUAUAUGAAGUUAAUGAUGAUUUUGAUGUUAAGGUCAUUCUAGCUACACUUUCUAGGAAAAGUAGAUGCCUUAACUCUGAACCAAUCAAUGAAUCAUCACCCUAGUGUACCUAAUGAAGUUUGUACUCUUUGUUCUAACUUGUCUCAUACAGCACAUAAUUGUCCAUCAUUACCAGCCUAUCAAGAGGCUUAUUCUGAGCAGGUACAUGCCUUACAAUCAUAUGAGAAAACCCCCAAUAAUCCAUAUUCACCCACAUAUAAUCCUAAUUGGAGGAACCACCCUAAUUUUUCUUUGAAACAAAGUCAGCCUUUAUCAAACCAAGGAGGACAACAAUUCAACGUACCCAAUCAACAAUUUGUCCUUUCUAACCAAGUAUAUCCUCCUGCCCAACAGCCUAUGUCUCAAUUUGUUACACCUUAGCAAAGAAAAUGUUCUUUAGAUGAUACACUUUAAAGUUUCAUUCAGUUAACCCAACAAGCUUUUCAGUCAAACACUCAAGCUAUUCUAAAGCUUGAACAUCAAUUGGGUCAAUUAGCAACUGCUGUGGCUGAGAGAAAAAAAGGAAAAUUCCCAAGUCAACCAGUUCUUAAUCCUAAAUGAGUGCAUAAAGUUGGAUCAACUUCAAGCCAUCAGUAUAAAGAAGCAAAAUCUAUUAUGACCUUGAGAAAAUGAAAAAUAUUUGACAACAAGGUGGAGGUUCGAACAAGAAAGACAUCUGAACCUACUUCUGCAGAUCCAGUUCCAUCACAAGACUCAUCACUAAAUGAUCCAGAAGAAAGUAAUCCACCAGCUUACAUUCCUAAGGCUUAUUUUCCUUAAAGGUUAACAAAGGUAAAGAAAGAGACUUCAACAUGUGAGAUUAUGGAAAUCUUCAGGCAUGUAAGUAUAAGCAUCCCUUUACUCGAUGUUAUUAAGCAAGUUCCUCAUAUGCCAAGUUUUUGAAGGAUUUAUGAACUAAAAAAAGAAAUUUGCAUGUCACCAAAAAUGCAUUUUUAACUGAACAAACUAGCAAUUUACUUCAAUAUAAAAUGCCACCAAAAUUUAAGGAUCUAAGUUCCCCUACUAUCUCAUGUGUUAUAGGGAACCAAUUGUUUGAUAAAGCAUUAUUGGAUUUGGAUGCAAGUGUUAAUCUCUUGCCUUACUUUGUUUACAUGCAGCUUGGAUUACAUAAAUUAAAGUCAACUUCCAUUAUUUUGCAACAUGCAGAUAGGUUAAUGAAAAUACCUCAUGGUAUUAUAGAGGAUGUGUUGAUACAGAUUGAUAAAUUUUAUUAUUUUGUUGACUUUAUUGAUAUUGAUACUCAGCAUGUACAGGAUCCUAAGAAACACACCCCAGUUAUUUUAGGUCGUCCUUUCUUAGCUACAGUUGAUGCUCUUAUUAAUUGCAGGAAUGGAAACAUGCAAUUAUCUUUUGGUAACAUGACCAUGGAAUUAAAUAUUUUUAAUGUUCCUGAUAACUCUAGGAAAUGAGAGUUAUUACAUCAAUUCUAAACUUAAAUCAAGAUCACUUAGAGAACAAAUAAGGUGUUUUUAUUACAUUUUGGUUAUAUUUUGCAUAAACAUUCAUUUUAGUUAAGUUUUAAUAAGUUUUGUUUGAAUCAAAGUAAUUGGUGCUAAAAACAGGUGCAUAAUUGUAGCUUUUCAGAAAGUCUUAAUUCAUGAGAGGAUGGUGAGACAUUAGAUGAGCAAGAGGAGGAAAGAAGAUAGCCGCAAAAGAAGAAAAGCACAAUGGGGAAUAGUACAGUAUUGUAGCGGAUGUUAAAGCAACCAGUGCUAUAACAAUCUUGGAGCAAUGCUGGAGAAAAUUCAGGCGCGGGUCAGCUGCAGAAUCGCGAUUUGCAUGUUUCCUAAUUUAACUCAUGCACGCUUAUGGACUUUUAUUUUACUCUAGUUUGCAGUAUAAAAGAGAGGCGUGCACCACAUAGAGAGGCGACAAGAGGAAUUAUCAUAAAAAAUCAUUAGAGAGAAAAAGAGAAGAAGAUCAGAAUUGAAGAGUGUUGUUUCGGCAACAUUGAGGAAUCUGGUAGAAUUAUUCGAAUUUGUCUUUCACUGUGCUCAACUGAUAUUUAUCUUCCUCCUUUGAUUGUUUUAAUGUAUCCCGUGAACAACAUAUUUUUGUUUGUUUUUCUUAUUCAGAAUAUGAACUAGAUUUGCUUGUAGUUGAGUGACAAACAAUCCAAUGGGUUCUUGACUGUUCUUAUGUGUUGUUAUGUCAUUGCUGUAGUAUUAUACUCUAAUAGUUAUUAUUAAUAUAACUGUUAUUUCGGUUGACCACCCAUUUAAUAGUUCCAGUUAAGAUAGAGCAGUAAAAGUGCAUGUCUUAGCGGACAUUAUUAGAAUAUUACUUGAUCUUAAGUUAAGUUUCCUAGAUUAAGUUAUCUUGAAUCCCAUAAGGGCAAUGACAUAACAACACAUAAGUGCUCACCUUGUAGGGUGGAGAGAUAAAAAUGGAUCAUAAAGCCAUAUCAUGAGUAGAUUAGCAACUGGUCAUUGCUAGUGUAUUUAAGGGUAUGAGAGUUCCAAUAUGCGACAGCUGAGGAUGCAGAUUAAUUCCGCCCAGUGCUGCAGCACUUGCCGUAACAAUUGGAGUCCACUUGAUGAAAAACAGUCAGCCCAUAAGGAGAGUUUGAUCAUUCAACUACCAUGUUCUUACUUGAAUCUUAGACACAUUCAGUUUAGUUUAUUUCAUUGUGGUUUUGUUUAUUUUAUUCUCUCACAAUAAUUAAUUACGAUAGAACACAUUUUACGUUUGUUAACUUCGGAUUUGAAUUAGUUUGCACUAUUGUGAUUGCUACAAUAUUUUUGGUAACAUCAAUCCCUGUGGAGACGAUCUUGAAUACUCAUCACUUUAUUACUUGUUGUGUACACUUGCACAUUAACAAUAAUAGCAUUUGAUUAUAAAAUCAACCAAUAAGUUUUUGGCGCCGUUGCUGGGGGUUGAUUAUUUAUUUUUGAAGUGUGAAGUAAAUCUUGAUAGCACCAAAUUUGAUUUAAUUCAUUCUAUUUAUUGGCAGAUCAAUACUUGCAUGCGCAAAGACAGAUCUGUGAUAUUUCAGUUCGAUCCUGAGAUUGAAAUGACUGUUAGGAGAUUGCGAAGAGAACAAAGGAAGUCAAAAACUAUUUCAAGCAUGAAUAAUUUACAGGAUGAGGGAAAUUGAACCCUGACGGGCCCUUAUAACCAGUUAACAUUCAAGAAGAGCAGAAUGAACAUGCUAACGAGAGACAACCAGGCAAUAAUAAUAUUAUUUACAUGGCUAAUGACAGAGACAGAGCUAUUAGAGAUUAUGCUGUGUUAACUCCUCAAGUUGUACACCCUGAGAUAAUCAGACCUGAAGUAGAAGCUGUAAAUUUUGAGUUGAAGCCAGUGAUGUUUCAAAUGUUGCAAACAGUUGGUCAAUUAAAUAGAUUACCAAAUGAAGAUCCUCAUCUCCAUCUUAAGUUGUUCUUGGAAGUGAGUGAUGCUUUCAAGAUUGCUGGAGCAACACAAGACGCCUUAAAGCUGAGACUUUUUCCUUAUUUCUUAAGAGAUCGAGCAAGAGCAUGAUUCGUUACCAUCUGAUUCCAUCACUACAUGAAAUGAGUUGGCUGAUAAAUUCCUAAUGAAAUAUUUUCCACUGACAAAAAAUGCAAAGUUGCGGAAUGAGAUAACUUCUUUUCAUCAACUUGAAGAUGAAAGUUUGUACGAGGCUUUGGAAAGAUUCAAAGAACUGCUCAGAAGGUGUCCUCAUCAUGGCAUUCCUUGUUGCAUUCAAUUGGAAACUUUCUACAGUAGGUUGAAUCCAAGUACAAGGUUAAUGGUGGAUGCUUCAGCAGAUGGAGCCCUGUUAUCCAAAUCUUACACUGAAGCUUAUGAAAUUCUGGAGAGAAUUGCCAAUAAUAAUUAUCAGUGGCCAUCAACCAGGCAACCAGCAGUAAGAGGAUCAGUAGGGGUACAUAACAUAGAUGCAAUUACAACCUUAUCAGCACAAGUAACCUCAUUGACUAACAUGGUAAAGGCCAUGUUCUCUGCUCCAACAGUAGUGAAGCAAGUUGCAGAACUUUCUUGUGUAUACUGUGGUGAAGGACAUGACUUUGAUAAUUGUCAUGGAAAUCCAGCAUCAGUAACUAUGUGGGUAAUUUCAAUCGACAGCCUCAGAACAACCUAUAUUCAAAUACUUACAACCCUGGAUGGAAACAACACCCAAAUUUCUCAUGGAGCAGUCAGAAUCGAAAUGCUCCAGCAGUAAAUGGACAAAAUAUGAACAAUCAACCAUCUGGAUUUCAUCAGCAGAGUCAGGGGAAAAAACAUAGCAAUCAGGAUCCAAUCAUUUCACUGGAAGCAUUGAUUAAGGAGUACAUUACAAAGAAUGAAGCAAUUGUGCAGAGUCAAGCCGUAUCCUUGAGGAACCUGAAAAAUCAAAUGGGACAACUUGCCAUAGCAAUGAGUAGCAGGACUCAAGGAAGUUUCCCUAGCAACACAGAAGACCCUAGGAGAGAGGGUAAAGAACACUGCAAAGCAAUUAAUUUGAGAUCUGGAAAAAAUGUUAAUAUCCUAAUUGAUGUGAUUAACAAGGGUAAGAAAGUUAAUUCCUCACAAAAACCACCUCAAGAUGGAAGCAUGUUACAACAACCCAACCAUCAAAACACUAGUUACAUGGGCCAAGCUACAGCAACUGCAGAGGGAGUUCAAUCAGAACAUGUUGAAAAAGAAGUUGCAACACCAGUAGCCACGGCCUACACCAAGCCAAACAAACAGAGUUUGGUACCUCCUAAAGCUACCCAGCAGUUUAGACAUCCACCACCUUUCCCACAGAGAUUCCAGAAGCAAAAAUAAGACAAACAGUUCAGUAAAUUCCUGGAAGUGCUGAAGCAAUUACACAUAAAUAUACCUUUUGUGGAAGCCUUGGAGCAAAUGCCAAAUUAUGUGAAAUUUCUAAAAGACAUCUUGGCACGAAAGAGAAUGCUGGGAGAGUUUGAAACUGUUGCUUUAACACAGGAAAGCAGUCAUAUGCUCCAAAGUAAGAUUCCUACAAAAGUGAAAGAUCCAGGAAGUUUUACAAUAUCAUGCUCUAUAGGAACUAGGUAUACUGACAGAGCACUUUGUGAUUUGGGAGCUAGUAUUAAUUUAAUGCCAUUACCUGUAUUUAAGCAGCUGGGAGUAGGGGAAUACAGACCAACAACAGUCACUCUGCAAUUAGCUGACAGAUCUCAUGCAUACCCUGAAGGAAAAAUUGAGGAUGUACUGGUGAAGGUGGACAAAUUCAUCUUCCCAGUAGACUUCAUUGUACUAGACUUCGAAGCUGAUAAAGAGGUGCCCAUUAUACUUGGAAGACAUUUUCUAGCAAUUGGAAAGACUUUGAUAGAUGUGCAGAAAUGAGAGCUCACCAUGAGAGUAAAUGAUCAGCAAGUCACAUUUAAUGUACUAGAGGCUAUGAGAAGUCCUGAUGAAGUAGAAGAUUACAAUUUCCUAAGUGUUGUGGAUUUUGUUGUAACAGACAGAAUGGACAGAUGCUGCAGUAAUGAAAUCAACAAAGUCACCACCUUUGAGAAUGUAGAAGAGGAAGAUGUUGCAGAAAAUCAGAUAGAUUGGAUGAAAGAAAAGAAAUCUGAUAGGCACAACAGGUUUAUUGAGCAUCUGAAUCUUUCAGACAGGAAAGUAAAAAUAACUUUACCAUAUAUUGAAUCACCUCCUAGUCUUGAAUUAAAAUUGUUAUCUUCACAUUUGAAGUAUGUUUAUCUUAGUCAAAACAACACACUCCCUGUGAUCAUUUCUUUUACUUUGGAUACAGGUUGAGAACAGAGUUUAGUAGAUUUGUUGGGAAAAUACAGUAGAGCAAUUGAAUGAACCAUGGAAGACAUCAAGGGGAUAAGCCUAUCAAUAUGCAUGCAUAAAAUCCUGUUAGAAGAUUGCUACAGCAAUUCGGUGGAGCACCAGAGAAGGUUGAACCCUAUUAUGAAAGAAGUGGUGAAGAAGGAAACCAUCAAAUGGUUAGAUGCUGGACUCAUAUACCCAAUAUCAGACAAUUCGUGGGCGAGCCCAGUUCAAUAUGUUCCAAAGAAGGGAGAGAUAACUGUGAUAGCUAAUGGGAGGGAUAACUGUGAUAGCUGAUAAGAGAGAUGAACUUAUUUCUACAAGGACAGUGACUGGAUGGAGAGUAUGUAUGGAUUACAGGAAGCUUAAUAAAGCCACAAAGAAAGACCACUUCCCACUCUCAUUCAUAGAUCAGAUGUUGGACAGACUUGUUGGAAAACAAUACUAUUGUUUCCUAGAUGGGUAUUCAGGCUACAACCAGAUUGCUAUAGCUCCAGAAGAUAAGGAAAAGACUACAUUUACUUGUCCUUAUGGAACAUUUGCCUUCAGAAGAAUGCUCUUUGGGUUGUGCAAUGCUCCAGCAACUUUUCAGAGAUGCAUGAUGUCUAUUUUUUCUGAUAUGGUAGAACAAACUUUAUAAGUUUUCAUGGAUGACUUUUCAAUUUUUGGAGUGACAUACAAUGAUUGUUUACACAACUUGGAAGAAGUUCUUAAAAGAUGUGAGAUGACUAACUUAGUACUUAAUUGGGAAAAAUGUUAUUUCAUUGGGCAAGAAGAAAUAAUGUUGGGUCAUAAGGUGUCCAAGAAAGCCAUUGAGGUAGACAAAGCCAGGAUAAAGGUAAUAAAUAAACUGCCACCCGCCACUUCAAUAAAGGGUAUAAGGAGUUUUUUGGGCCAUACUGGAUUUUAUAGAAGAUUCAUUAAGGAUUUUUCUAAGGUAGCUAAACCAUUAUGCUCAUUGCUGGAACAUGACAAGCCCUUUCACUUUGACAAAGAUUGUCAUCAAGCAUUUGGAGAAUUAAAGAAAGCUCUGAUCACUGCUCCAGUAGUUAUAUCUUUAGACUGGAUGUUACCAUUUGAAUUGAUGUGUGAUGCUAGUGAUCAUUCUGUUGGAGCAGUAUUAGGGCAAAAAAAGGAUAAGGUUUUUCACUCCAUAUACUAUGCAAGUAAAACUCUUACUCAAACUCAAAUCAAUUACACCACUACAGAGAAAGAGUUGCUAGUAGUAGUAUUUGUUUUUGACAAAUUCAGGGCCUACUUGGUGGGUACUAAAGUGACUGUAUAUACAAACCAUGCAGCCAUCAAAUACUUAAUUUCAAAGAAUGAUGCCAAGCCAAGAUUAAUCAGAUGGAUCUUAUUGCUUCAAGAAUUUGAUCUGAAAAUUAAAGAUAGAAAAGGGACUGAGAAUCAAGUAGCAGACCACCUGUCACGGCUGGAAGCAAAUACAAGUACAUUGACAAGAAAUGACAUCACUGAAACUUUUCCUGAUGAACAGAUGUUGGUAGUACAUCAAGCACAGAUGCUGCAGUCAGGAUCUCCAUGGUAUACAUAUUUUGCUAACUACUUGGAAGUGGAUUGCUACCACCUGAGCUGAAGUUCCAAGAGAAAAAGAAAUUUCUUCAUGAUGUAAGAAGUUAUCAGUGGGAUGACCCACAUUUAUAUAAGCUGUGCUCAGAUCAAGUAAUACGAAGAUGUGCUGCAGAAGGAGAGAUUCCCCACAUACUGGAGUCAUGCCAUGCUGCAGCAUAUGGAGGACAUUUUGGUGGUCACAGAACAGCUGCUAAAGUUUUGCAAUCAGGUUAUUACUAGCCUACCAUUUUUAAAGAUGCUUAUGAAUUUGUUAAAUAUUGUGACAGGUGUCAAAGGACAGGGAACAUAACUAGAAGACAUGAAAUGCCAUUGACCAAUAUUCUAGAAGUGGAAGUUUUUUAUGUAUAGGGAAUAGAUUUUAUGGGACCUUUUCCACCAUCCUUUGGGAACUUGUAUAUCCUUGUUGCUGUGGAUUAUGUCUCCAAGUGGGUAGAGGCUGCAGUAUUACCUACCAAUGAUGCUAAAGCAGUGGUGGUUUUUCUUCAGAAAAAUAUUUUUUCCAGGUUUGGCACUCCUAGAGCAAUUAUUAGUGAUGAGAGUACUCAUUUUUACAACAAAGUCUUUGCUGCAGCUAUGGUAAAAUAUGGAGUCAGACACAAGGUAGCAACAACAUAUCACCCACAGUCCAAUGGUUAGGCUGAAGUGUCCAACAGAGAAAUUAAAAAGAUCUUAGAAAAAAUGGUGAACCCAACAAGGAAGGAUUGGUCUUUGCAAUUACAUGACUCUCUAUGGACCUACAGAACAACAAAAAAACUCCACUUGGCAUGUCUCCUUACCGAAUUGUUUAUGGGAAGGCUUGUCAUUUGCCACUAGAGCUAGAGCAUAACGCACAUUGGGCACUGAAGAAAUUAAAUUGGGACAUUCAUGCUGCAGCAGAGCAAAGAAAGCUUCAACUUUGUGAGCUUGAUGAAUUACGGCUAUUUUCAUAUGAAAAUGCUAGAAUCUAUAAAGAAAGGACAAACCACUGGCACGACAAGCAUAUUCAACACAGACAGUUCAGCCCUGGUCAACUAGUGCUGCUCCGCAAUACAAGACUAAGAUUAUUUUCAGGAAAGCUAAAAUCAUGAUGGUUUGGAAUUUUUAGGCUGUUAAAAUGUUAUCCUCAUGGAGCUGUUGAUCUUUUAGAUGAACAAACAGGUCACAAAUUUAAAGUUAAUGGACACAGGGUUAAGCAUUACAUACACCCAGCAACAGAUUGUUCAAAGGAGGUUUUACUCCUUAAAGAACCCAGCUAUUGAGCAGUGAAAGAAGGUCAGGCUGAAGGACCUUAAAUCAAGCGCUCCAUGAGAGGCAACCCAUUGUGGAGAUAGCCACUUCAAACCAAGUUUGAUCAUCUUUGGUUUUGUUGACGGUUCUCCCUUUCUUCCAUUUUAUUUAAUUUUGUUCUUUAAUUUAAGUUACUUAGUUUUAUCUUUUCACAUUAUUGCAUUUUUUUUAUAUUGCUAUCAUUUGAUCUCUUUAUUUUUAAUUAUAUUUUUAGAAUCGAUUUUAGUUUUUGUGGUAAGUAUGAGUGGCAUUAGAUUUUCAUUUUAACCAGUGGGGUUGUAUGGUGACAGAGUGCAGAGGCAAGCCACGUGUCAAAGAGCAUUGGAGGGACGUAUGUAAUCGUUGCUAGAGCAAGCUGCAACACCUAAUAUUACCAUUACAGUAAAUUAAAAAUUAGAGCCUCUCACUUACCGUUGGAGAUAAAUCAUGAUAGAUGGCGGCAUGGAUUUGGAUAGCAAUUGCGAAGAAAUCUCCGAAAUUAAUGCAUUAAUUUCCCUGGCCUAUGUUUUAGGGAUAUACAUAUUAAAUUCAAAAUAUUUUCUUCCCUUAUUUAUCUGUAGUUACCAGAUUUAUCUUCACUUAAAGUCCACUAUAAAAGGGAGUCACUGUGCGUAGUGAUCUACGGCACUAUUCCCCAUCUCCUUCGCAAAUACAACUCUCAUAAUUCUUAACCUCUUCUUCUCAUUUUACUCUCAGAUUGUUACUGCUAUAGCAAUGCCAAGGUAUAAGAAAAUAGCCAGCCGCCUCAAAGAUCCUUCACGCUUCCAGAGUUACCACGCCGAAGAAAAAUAUGAAGAAUUCGUAAGAUUCUGGAAGAAAAGUGGUUUCAAUUUCCAGAGCGACUCAUCGGAAUUGUGCAAACAAUACACAAUGCUGCAGUAAAGCGUGGAUGGUUGGACUUUUGCAACCACCCUCGAAAUCCUGUGCUACCAGUAGUAAAGGAAUUUUACGCCAAUUUGGUAAGCCCUGAUCAGCACAACAUUUGGGUAAGAAACACACUUGUUCCAUUAGACUCCCGCGUUAUAAAUGCUUUUUAUAAUUUACCUGCUGAAAUUAAUUGUGAGUAUGCCAAGUUGCUUGAUAAAUUGACCCCAAAGAAAUGGAACACCAUCUUCAUAACUCUUACAAUUGAAGGGGCAUCAUGGGCUAACGAGGAAGGGCGUGUAGUUAAUAGGAUAGAUUUGAAACUUAUUGUUAAGGUUGGGUGAAAUUUUUGAAAUCUAGGCUUAUGCCAACCACUCAUACUACUACGGUUUCACAAGAGAGGUUGGUCUUGUUAUAUGUCAUUGUUCGAGGGCUUCUCAUAGAUGUAGGUAGCAUCAUCGAAAAAGAAAUCAGGGAUUGUGCAGUUAAGAAUCAUAAAACUGAUGCUCUACUAUUUCCUUCGCUCAUCACCAGCAUUUGUGUAGUAUCCGGUGUUCGUCUUGACGUGAGAAAUGACCAUAUCAAGAAUGAUGGUGCCUUUACGACACGUACCAUUGAUAGAGUUGUUGGUGAGAGUACUGGAACAACAACUGAACCAACUACUGUAACAAGAGCAAGACGAGUUAUUGGUUUAGAAUAAACAAUUCAGGUGCUCAGCAAAGAUCAGCAGAGGGAAAAUGAUCGGUUUUGGAGCUAUUUACAGCACCUGAACAACCAACUACACUAAUUUGCUCUGUACAUGAAACACACUCACCGGAACUUCCUUGAUUCAUUGCUCCAGCAAUACAAUUUUGACACCAACACCACAGGUACUCCAGCAGCAGCCAGUGAAGAAGCCACUGCCACAGAUGAACUAGAAGAAGAAGCUGCAGCCGAACCACAAGCAGAGGUAGAAUCAGAAGAUGCUGAAACAUCUGAUCAACCUGAGGAAGAAGGUGACAAGUCUGCAACUGAUAGCUCACCCAUAGAGGCAGAGGACAACUCUGAGAAAGAACGUGAGGAACUUUCCAUUCCAACUCAUUCCAAAACCAGGAGGAAGAGGAAAACCCUGAAGAGGAACCUUCCAUUCCAGUCAUUGCGGGCAAGGACAAGGGCAAGGGCAAGGGCAAGGUAAAAAUAGCAACAUCUCCAGCCUCUGAAGAUGAAAUGGAGCAAAUCGAUGCAGAGCUAGCUGCUGCAGUAACCAGAGUUACGCCUACACCUGCAGAAGCCAAACAGCUACUUGAUAUCAUUGCUGCCAUCACAGCUGAAGGUCAGGCAGCUGAUGCCUCAACUCCAAUUCCUCCACAGAUGACUCCUAGCCAACCUGUUCGUACCAGUCCGUGAUAAUCCAGUAAAAGAAAAGGCAGUACGUAUAAAGGCACUGCUACAACAGCCUCGCCUCAACCAAAACGGACCAGGUCGGUGUCAACUACACAACCUACCCCAGCCGCAACUCCUCUCGCCAGCCCAGUGACGAAAAAGACAAAGACAUUGCCAGUCACUUCCCCACAAGUUUCACCAAAUGAUAAGCUGCGCAGUGCAUCCAAGAAACGCUGAUAUCAUCCCGUCAUUUGCAGCAGUCCCAACCACAUGGGAGUAUCCCUACCUUGCUAGUUAAUUUAUUGUUAAAAAAAAACUUUUCUUUCAGUUUUAUUGUUAAAGAAAAACUUUUAUUUCAGUAUGUUUUUCAAAUUUUGUGGUAUUUUCUAAUGUCUUCCAUGUCCUUGUCCACUUGUGUGCCUUUGUUAUGUAUGCUUGUGAGGACAUAGCAACUCUCAAGUUUAGGGGGGUUGUGUUUCCAAAUGUUUGUGUUUAUGUGUAUGCUUGUGUUGUGUGUUGUGUGAAGCUCUGUUAUCUAAUAUUUGUGUAUGGAUUUGAAAACCUAAUGAAGAUAUAUUGAGUGUUAUUCAAGAUUUAAGAGAAUGCCAAGUAGAGAUAGUUAUAGAUGGAGGUUGAAAUUAUGUCCUGACACUUAGACUUUGGUUGAAUUGUAUGAGAUUGCUAGAGCAAAGCCAAAAGAAUAGAAAAGAGCUUAAGUUUGGGGGGGAAAAUAAGUUGAUUGACUGUGAUAUCUAUGUAAUAAACUCUGUUUCAAUGGCUCAAGUUGCUGAAUAACCAGAUCUUAGUAUGUACCCCAUAUGCAGAAUUGUGUUCAAAGGUAGCAAGAGUUAUGAGCAAUGCUGUAGCAUUUAAAAAAAAAAAAGCCCUCUGUCUAAGGCAUUGAGUAGCCAGGUCUGUUCAUGAGCCCCAUGUUCAGCCUUGAAUAAAAAAUAUCUCUAGAUAAGACUAUAUUACAGAUAUUGCUACAGCAACUCUGAUCUGUGCAUGGUUUGAGUAAUUGGGUGUCAUCAUUACAAUUGAUUGACAUUCACAUGAAAAAUAAAUGUUGCAGUGAGGAAGUUGAAUACUCUCCAGUUUCUCAAUCUUAAAAUCAUCACAGUUCGAGUAUGUGAAAUUUAUGCUGCCCCAUAUAUGAUGAAGUUUUAUCACUGCUGAAAUUCAUGCAGUCUCUUAGUGAUGUUAUAGCAUCUCUAGAAUACAAUCAAAAUAGCACACACACACAAUGGACAGAAAGAAGCUUAAGUCUAGAACUGGUUUACUAUAGUCACGUUGCAUGAUUGGGAUUGUGAUCUGAAGGUGGAAGAAUCCUUGCAAAUUUGAUAAAAGAACUAAAGUUAUUUUGCAUGAUUGUUUGUGUGAAGUAUUAGUAUGUUGUCAUUACUUGAGGACAAGUAAUGGUUUAAGUUUAGGGGUGUGAUAACUCUAGGAAAUGAGAGUUAUUACAUCAAUUAUAGACUUAAAUCAAGAUUACUUAGAGAACAAAUAAGGUGUUUUUAUUACAUUUUGGUUAUAUUUUGCAUAAACAUUCAUUUUAGUUAAGUUUUAAUAAGUUUUGUUUGAAUCAAAGUAAUUGUUGCUAAAAACAGGUGCAUAAUUGUAGGUUUUUAGAAAGUCUUAAUUCAUGAGAGGAUGGUGAGACAGUGGAUGAGCAAGAGGAGGAAAGAAGAUAGCUGCAGAAGAAGUAAAGCACAAUCGGGAAUAGUGCAGUGUUGUAGCGGAUGUUAGAGCAACCAGUGCUAUAGCAAUCUGGGAGCAAUGCGGGAGAAAAUUUAGGCGCGGGUCAGCUGCAGAAUCGUGAUUUGCAUGUUUCCUAAUUUAACUCAUGCACGCCUAUGGACUUUUGUUUUAUCCUAGUUUGCAGUAUAAAAGAGAGGCGUUCACGACAUAGAGAGGCGGCAAGAGGAAUUAUCAUAAAAAUCAUUAAAGAGAAAAAGAGAAGAAGAUCAAAAUUGAAGAGUGCUGUUUCGGCAACAUUGAGGAAUCUGGCAGAAUUAUUCGAAUUUGUCUUUCACUGUGCUCAACUGAUAUUUAUCUUCUUCCUUUGAUUGUUUUAAUGUAUCCCGUGAACAACAUAUUUAUGUUUUUUUUUCUUAUUCAAAAUAUGAACUAUAUUUGCUUGUAGUUGAGUGACAAACAAUCCAAUGGGUUCUUCACUGUUCUUAUGUGUUUGAUUUUUCUACAAAUUUUUUUUCCAAGUCCAUUGAUUUUCUGCCUCUCUUACUAAUCAUGUUAGGCUUGGAAAUAUCCACUUUGGUAUUAUUAUUUUAUAAAUUUUAAUUAUUUUAAUUAUUUAUUAAUUAUAUUAAUUAUUAUUAUUAUUAUUGUUAUUAGUUUUAUUAUUUUAAUUAUUAUUAUUGAUUAAGACUAGAAAGUGUACAUUUGAUCAAAGUUAAAAUUAUCAUUUUCCACUUACAUUGUUGAUAAGACUAACAAUGGCAUCAAAUUUACAAAUCCCUAACACAUUUUAUGAAUUUUCUAUUUUUAUUGGUUUUAAAGUAUGAUUUUUGUGCUUUGUAGAUAAAUCCCUAAAUUCAUGAUGUUUGGAUCAAAAAAGUGAACGUGAAAUUUAGAUUCUGGAGACUCAAAAUCCUUUAGAAGAAUUGCUACCCUUUUGAUCCAACAUUAAUUAUAAACGGUUGAGAUCAUGCUAUGUGUCUAAGCUAAAGUGCACCUUAUUGUACUAGAUUUAACAGUUAUCAAUUUGAUAGAUCAACUAUCUUGACAAAUGAGCCUAUGGAAGAUCUCAUUUUGACCUCAUUUAUAGCCAUUGAUUAUAUUGAAUUCGACUAUUCAUAAUGGUUGCAAUUUUAAACCCUUGGAUUAUAUUAGAAAAAGUUUCCUCAUAAUCGAUUCCCUCUUUCUGAGUAAACCCUUUGGCUACUAAUCUUGCUUUAAAUGUUUCCACCCUUCCAUCUACUCCUCUUUUUCUCUUGUAGAUCCACUUGCACCCUAUAGGUUUUACCUCAUUUGGUGCCUCUACAAGUUCCCAGACUUUAUUGGAAUACAUAGAUUCUAUUUCUUGAUUCAUGGUCUUUUUCCAAAAUUCAACAUCUCUAUCUAUUAGAGCUUCGUUGUAACUAGUGGGAUCUUGUACAUGUUCAUCUGAGAUAGCCGUAUAGGUUUCUCCUAAAAGCAUGUAUCUUGCAGGUAACUUAGUUACCUUCCCACUACGACGAGGUUCUAAAAGUGAUGGUUGUUCAGGGUUAAUCCUGUGUUGAUCAUCUGGUUGUUGCUGUUCUUCCUGUUCUGUAACAGGCGUUGAAAGCUAAGCAUCAACCUGAUCACCUGACAGUUCUUCGAGUAUUACCUUACUCUUAGGUUUGAAGUUAUUCAUAUAGUCUUCCUCGAGGGAAGUGAAAUGUGUGCUCACGAUCACUUUCCUAUCUUGAGGACUAUAAAAUAAACCUCCCAUUGUUCCUUUGGGAUACCCCACAAACAUACAAACCUCAGAACGUGAAUCCAUUUUGUCUGCCUUUGGUUUCAGCACAUGUGCUGGUGAUCCCCAAAUAUGGACAUGUCGUAAACUUGGUUUGCGACCUGACCAUAAUUCUAUUGGGGUUUUAGGCACUGACUUAGAUGGAACUAAGUUCAAAAGGUAAACUACAGUUUCCAGUGCUAGUCCCCAAAAAGAGAUUGGUAAUGACGAAUAACUAAGCAUAGAUCUCACCAUAUCCAAAAGAGUUCUAUUUCUUCUUUCAGCUACCUCAUUUUGUUGUGGUGUUCCCGGGGCAGUCAACUGAGAUAUAAUCCCAUUUUCAACUAGAUACUCUUUGAAAUCUCCUGAGAGAAAUUCACCACCUCGAUCAGAUCGAAGUUUCUUUAUGUUCUUAUCUAAUUGCUUUUCUGUCUCAGCCCUAUACUCUUUGAAUUUCUCAAGAGCUUCAGACUUAUGACGCAUCAGAUAAACAUAACCGUAUCUUGAGUAAUCAUCAGUGAAAGUGAUGAAAUACUCAUAACCUCCUCGAGCUUGUACAUUGAUUGGUCCACAUACAUCUGUAUGUACCAAUUCAAGUGGUACUGUUGCACGUACUCCUUUAGCCGAGAAUGACCUUUUGGUCAUUUUCCCUUCUAAACAGGAUUCACAGAGUGGCAAUGAUUCAUUUUCUAAUGGACCCAAGAGCCCAUCUUUGAUCAUUCUCUGUAUUCUAUUUUGGUUUAUAUGACCCAAGCGUAAAUGCCAGAGGUAACAUUGGUUGGAAGAAAUAUUUUUUUUCUUAGAUAAAUGUGUAUGCUCAUCAUUAUUUAUCACUGUGUCAUGCAUAUAAUGGAUCAUUGGACUUAAAUGAUAUAAAUUAUCUUCCAAUGUACUAGAACAAAUAAGUCUCUUAUUAUGAAAAAUAGAAACAGAGGAUCCAAAAUUUACAGUGUACCAUUGCUUUGACAAACAAGCUAAUGAAAUUAAAUUCCUCUUAAUGUCUGGAACAUAAAGACAAUUAUUCAAAACUAAAGUCUCAUUAUUAAAAGAUAAUAAAACAGAUCUAGUCUUCACUGCUGACACGAACUGUCCUGUCCCUAACUGCAGCUUGACGCUUUCUUCACUUAUUUUCCUGGUUUCCUGAAACCAAUAAAGUGAAUUACAAAUAUGAUUAGUUGCUCCUGAAUCCAACACCCAAGUGUCAAUAGGAUUCUGAACUAAACAGGCCUCAAUUACAAAAAGAUUUCCCAUACCUGAUUUCACAAUCUUAGGGCAAUCCUUUUUCCAGUGACCUUUCUGUCCACACUUAAAGCAUUUGCCUUUCGGCUUGCCAUCUUGCUUGGUAGACGGUUUCUUUUUCCCAGCUUUCUUCUUACCUUUGCCUUUCGGCUUAGGCCCAGAAGAUGAACUUUUUUCAGUAAUAUUUAUGCUUCCCAGAGAUUUCUCAGCACGAUAGAUCUCUUCAGCAGAAUGGAGUUCGUUAAUCAAUUCAGUUAAGGUCAUGUUUCUUUUGUUCAUGUUAUAAUUGACCUUAAACUCCUUGAAUGUUUCUGGUAGAGAUUCUAGCACCAUGUCAAUCUUUGAGUUAUCAUCGAUUUGUGCUCCUUGAAUCUCAGCCUCAUUCAAAUAGUCCAUCAUUUUGAGGACAUGAUCAUGAACUCUUAUGCCCUUCCCCAUUUUACUGUUCAUAAUUCCUUUCAGCGCUGCUUGUCUUGCUGAGCGAGUACUCUGCCCGAACAUCUGUUGGAGACUAUCCAUUAUUUCAGUGGCAGUCUCCAAGUUCUGAUGUUUGCUCUGCAGAAUAUUAGAAAUCGAGGCUAAAAUGUAGCACUUUGCCAUUUCAUUGGCCUUUUGCCAUUUCUCAUAAAGCCUCCUCUAAUUUCUAUGAGCAUCAUCCGCUGGAACUGGAGGGCAUGGCUGGGUUAAGACAUAUUUAUAAUUUUCAGCAGUCAGGACAAUGAAUAGAUUUCUUUUCCAAUCUAUAUAGUUCUCCCCAGUGAGUUUGUUUUGACUCAGAAUAAUAGUAAGUGGGCUCAGGGAAGACAUUUUCUGAAAAAUAAAACAUCCAUGCAUAAAUAAUUUGAAAUAAUAUUCACAAUAAAUGACAAAAAAGCAUAAAACCAUAAAUGCAUUUUAAUUUAUUGUAACGAUAAUCUAGUUCCGCUUUGACAAGCUAUCCGGUGGGGAAGUCAUGUCUAUACUUACUAGACCCAAUUACCCAUUGGAUUAUUUACUUUCAUGUAGAGACAUGAUAAAUAAUUAUCGUUAUCUUUUUGGGCCUAAAUUUGUUAACAGAGCUUCGUUGGGAAGGUUAAUAACAAAUUUUAGUUGAGUGUAUAACCAUUAUUUCAAUCUAUGUAUUUUUCAUAUCAAUAGUCACCGUUGGGGUGAACAAUCGAUUGAAAAAUAUUUCAAUUUUAUCUUUGAAGAAGUUCAUCAAAUAAAAUAUCUAAUAUAUAUACCCUCCGAAGGGAGCAUCACCGUAUCAUGAAGUCGAGGUAUAUAUAUAAUUUUAUUAUUGAAGUAACAAUGGAGCCCGUGGAAAAAUUAUCUUGAAUUUUCCCUCUCCCACUCAAUAUUUUAAAAUUGGCUUUUCCUUUUUAAAACAUACAUAUUGUUAAUUGCAUGCUUCCUAUAAUAUUAUCUAGAUGAUAUCAAAUAUUAUUAAGCAUACAGAAAUUUCAAACAAUAUUAUGAAAUUCAUUAUUAAUGAAUGACAUGUAUCAUUAUGCAUAGAGUGGCACUACCUAUUCUAUAUGACAUUGUUAUCAUGGCAUGUAAUCAUCCAAAACAUAACAUAUAGAAAAAUAAUUAAAUAAUCUUAAUUCAUAGCUUUCCUAAUAAUGAAAAAUACAUUAACCCUAAGCCUAAUCUUCAUUGGGCUUCUUGUCAAUGUCCAUCUUUCAUAAUCUUGUCUUUGUUAAUUGGCUAGGGGAAAUUGGAUUUUUAAAUUUAUAAUUGGUCCAAUUUUAAUUUUUGGAAGGAAUAAAUAAAUAAUUAAAAUUUUUUACUAAAAUAAAUUUUUUGGACCAAAAAUAAAUUUAUUGUGUUCAAUUUUAUCCAUGCAUUUUAAUCCAUUAAGGCCAAAUAUCAAUUGGGCCUAAAACUAGGAUUCUUUAAGCCCAAAACUGUUUUUGGACUUACAUGCAAAAAAUUAAAACUUAUCAGCCCAAAGAGAAAAUCUAUAGAACUAUAGGGAUCGUAAUGAUAAAAAUCAUUAAAACCCUAAAUCCAUAUUUUUCUCUCCCCAGCCGCCAUCACCACAAAGGGCAGCCACUGUUCACAAUUUCCAGCCAUCUCUGACGUCGAGUUUGCUGCCGCCAUCGCACCGGAAACGUACCAAACACCUCCCUCGCGCUGCACGGAAAGCUCCUGCUCGCGCUGCCUGCUGCGUGUGCUGGCUGUUGCACGCGAGCGUGCGCUAGCUGCUGCACGCACAACGUGCAUUGCUGGCUGCGCGAGCAGCACGCGCUGGCUGCUGGCUUGCAGCGCGCGCUUGCUGGCAGCAUGUGCUGCUGGCCGCGCGCUGCUUGCUGUUGGUUGCCGCUGUCAAAAUUUUCGGCCUCCGUCGCUUUGAUCUUGAAAAUCCGAGAUUAAUUUACAAAUUUCCUAGGCCAAUUUUUGGCUUACAAAAAUUCUAUAACAGUAAAAUAAAUCAAGAGGGAAACAUGAUGAUAAAAAACUACCCCUCUUAUGUUCAGGAUAAGCUCAGAUCAGCAUCGGAUCCAUUUCCCAAUUUUUCUUCCCCAAAUUCUGUUUCUGUACACUGUAAGUAUUUUUCAUCCUCAUUUUCUUGUAUCCAUUUUGCGUUAUGUCACCAUUUAUUUUCAUCUCAACAUUUGGUUUAAAUUAGAUCACCGGAGGAAAUACGAUGGGAAGAACACAGUGUUAGAGAAAAAUCAGGUUUUUAAAUUUUUUAUAAAACCUUUUAAGGACCGCUCUCAUAUAAUGUAUAAGAAUUUGUAAUCUAGAAAUCGUACCUUGAAAAUCCGAUUUGCCUUUUUUUCCGUUGAAGUGAUUUAGGCUCCUAGAUCACGAUCCGCCACCACCACUCCUGUUAGAUCACGAACUGUCACCAAUGAUCUUCCAGGUUAUGACUCAGGUUCGAUCUGCACUUGACGUGUGGGCGCCUUUAUCACUACCAAAGCAACUAGCACGAGAAAUUUUUUCUCUCAACAAUAGAGAGAAAAAUCUUUUUCUCUGAUCUGUAUAAAGUAGCUUCUCUUCUUUCUUUAGAGAAAAAUAAGCCUUUUAUAUCACCCUUUAGUGAAAAUCCUAGGCUCCAAAUAAUGGCCAAAAUAAAACUCACGUUACUUUUCAUUUAAUAGGGGACCCACCAUGUAAAAUAACAUAAGGCCCUUUACACAUAAGCUUAUUAAAUGGAGCCUCCCACUAAAUGAUAUAUUUAGGCUUUUGACCCAAAUAGCUAGUUAUCUUGCUUAUUAGUCCAGUAAUGGUGCAGUCAAUUAAAUGAGCUAACCCGGGGAUCAUUUGGGAACAUACAAUAGUGGCUAUAACAAUUAGGCCUGUAAUUAAACUAGCCUAAUUAUUUAAUUCCAAAUCUACUCCACUAAAAGAUUGGAACUAACUUCCAUAAUUGUAUGCUCGAAUAAUAAUUCGUCCCAAGCCACAUUGAUUUCUUUACUGCACAAUCCUUUGUACCACAUCGUUAAUUAAAUUGAUAUCUCAACUGUCCAAUCAAUUUAAUAACAUCUUAUUCCUUGAUCCUUACUGGUUUUCUCUAAUGAUCAUUUUCAACAUACUAAAUAUGUUGACACACUCUGGCCAGAGAAUUCUAUGAUCAAGUGCCGAAAACCCAUCAAGAGAUGUGUUGUACAAAUUCUAUAUUGUUAAUCCAUAACUCCAAUACUCAUAAUUGCUCCCACCAAGAUACCGAGUAAUCUUGACCACAAGGAUGUGUCUUGCCCAUUGGUAACUCAAAUGGAAUAACAAUUACAAUCAUGAAAUCAUAAUUAACUCAAGAUUAAGAUUACAGUAAAAUCAAUGCCUAUGAGAUUUAAUAAGUCUGACAGUUAUUACAAAGUUAAUUAAAUCUCAUAUGUGAUCCUGUUCAAUGUAGUCGUACUAUAUCAACAAAUUCAUACAUGAUUAAGACAAAUCAUUCAAUGAAUUUAUUACAGUCUAUACCUAAAUAAAGUGCCCAACUUUAUUUAUCAACUGCGAACUAAAUUUAUUUAAUCAUAAGAUAACUUGUAUUUAUGUCUUCUGUGAAUCCACAUGGUGAUCACAUAAAUACAUAUAAUAUGAUUAAAUGGACUUUAAUACAAAUAUUAAUGCAAUUAAGAUAUUUGAAUAAAAUACCUCAUCUAUUUUAUUAAUCAAAAAAAUUAUUUAUUACAAUUAAAAAAACAUAUAUGCUUUUAAAGAGCAUAUUUUCCCAACACACAGAUCAUCUCAAAGAGCACCGUCUGUGCAGCAAUUCACAAGGAACCAAACCUUAGAAUCGAUUUAACUCUAUGGGAUCUUAAGCUCAUUCAAUUUGAUACCAUUGAGAAAGGACUUCUCUUCCGCAAACCUUCAGAGGAUAACACCGAUACCAGCAGCUUGAACUUGAUCCACCACCUCAAGACCUCCCUUUCACGUACGCUAGACUACUUUCCCCCACUUGCCGGUCGCCUAGCCACCAUCGAGCAUCGUGAUGACAGCAACACAAUUUCUGUUUACAUAAAUUGCAACAAUGCCGGCGCAGAGUUUGUGCACGCCAUGGCCGAUGGAGUCUCUGUUGCAGAUAUCAUUACACCUGUUUAUGUUCCUAAUGAAACUGUUUACUCUUUUUUCCCACUAAAUGGAGUAACAAACUGUCAGUGUAUCUCCGAGGCCAAGCCGUUGCUUGGGGUUCAAGUGACAGAGCUUGUGGACGGAAUCUUCAUCGCUUGCACUAUCAAUCACUCCGUUGUUGACGGCACUUCCUUUUGGCAUUUCUUCAAUUCCUGGUCUGAAAUCUCACGGGGUUCUGAUUGUAUUUCAAAACUUCCAGUUCUCGAACGUGGAUUUCUCUCUGAUUCUGAAUAUUUUCCCAGUCGCCUCCCUCUCUGGAGCAUUGAACCUUCCGGAACUCACACUCCACCGCCUAAUUUGCGACAAAGGGUUUUCCACUUUACAAAGGAAAACAUUGCAAAACUCAAAGCAAAAGCCAAUGCUGAGAUUGGUAGUACCAACAAAAUCUCCUCUCUCCAAGCAAUCCUUUCCCAUAUUUGGCGAUCUUUUACUCGUAAUCGAUCUCUUGAUCCUGAUGAAGAAGUUCAUUUCAUGUUAGGAAUGGGAGUUAGACAAAGAUUGCAACCACCACUGCCACCAGAAUAUUUUGGAAAUGCAGCUCAGGUACUGGGAGAGUUCGCAUCCAUGAAAGCGAGAGAUCAACUUGAGCAAGGGCUUGGAAAUGUGGCAUUGAAAAUGAACAAGUUCAUCGCUGCGUACACAGACGAAAAGAUAAAGAACUUCUUGGAGUCUUGGGGAAAAAACCCUGAGAUCCUAACAUGGGAUAGCCUGCCGACGAAGAAUAAUGCUUGCUUCGUAAGUAGCUCGCCGAGGUUCAAUUUCUACGGUAACGAUUUCGGGUGGGGAAGACCAAUUGCAGUAAGGAGUGGUCCAGCGAACAAGGCUGCUGAGGGGAAGAUCACCCUGUUUGCCGGAGUGGAAGAAGGGAGUGUCGACGUUGAAGCUUGCUUUUUGCCUGAGACACUGCAAGGUAUGGGAAAUGAUACAGAAUUCAUGCAAUUGGUAUCUUAAUUGUUAAAAAUCUUCCGUGUUCUGGGGCUUUGCUCAUUAACCAUUAUAUCAAUGAAAGCUUACUUUUAAAUACAUUUUUUAUGAAUUAAUGUAGAUCAAAUUUAGUAUGACAUGUUUAUGUUUCUGAUCAAAUGAUGUAUUUUCAUUGGUCAUGUGAGAAGUAAAAGAGAUCCAACCGCAAGUUGCUUCUACCAAACAUUGACUUUCAUAUUAUUGGCGUGCCUUGGCAAAAGCCCAAUUAGGAUUUCAAUUAAAAUAUAUCUAAUUUUGAUAUUUUUGAAAAAUAAAGCCAUGGUGAAAUAAUUGACAUAACAUCAAUAUUAUAUCAGUAGUUCAGUGAUUUUUUUUUUCUUUUUGGGUACUUGCACCUUGCUGAUAUAGACUUUGUAAAUUAUUCUGAAUGCUUAACAUAUUUCUUUUAAUGUGAUCAAUAAAAGUUUUAAAAGCAGUCUAACAGAUUAAUGAUAAAUAAAUUUGUUUCAUAUUAAAAAUAAUUCUCGAUGACUUGAUAAUCCUGUGAAGAAGUUCCUUUCGAACUAUCGAUAGGAGUUAGAAUAAGAUUGCAACCAUCACUGCCGCCUGAUGAAUAUUUCGGAAAUGCAAUUCUAUAAAGCGGGAGAUCAAAUUGAAUAUGCGGCACUGCGAAUGAGCAAUGUUAGUGAAACUGAUAAAAUGUGAAGAACAGAGGAAACGAGUACAUGCUGUAACUAUGUAUUUGACAGCAGCUGAAUAGCUCACUCAGCUGACGUGGCUUAGUUAGUUAUUUUGAUUUAAGCAUUCUUCACAUGUGUGUAACAAAUUGCCAACAAUUAGUAACAAGUUGCUUUCACUUGCUAUAUAUAUGUAUAAUCUGUACUCAUUCGAUUAAUGAGAAGUUUUUACAAGUUUCCAUUAUGAGUUUUUCAUUCAUUUUCCUUUUAACUUUCUCGCUUCCCAAACACAAAUACUUGAGUUUCUAUCAUGGUAUCAGAGCCAUCAAUGGUGUUGUAAAAAAUUUUAAUAUACUCGUAAGCGCACGAAUGUAGAAUAAAAUAAUGGUAAUAAGGUCAAACCCACAGGGAUUAUUAUAAAUUAAAAAGUCUAAUUUAAAUAAAUUAAUAUUAAUUCUAACCUAGUUGAACAAAUUGAGUUUCUAAUAAAAUUUAACCAAUUAAACUAAGAAAACAAUUAAAACAAAGGAGAAUUUAAUAAGACAAAAAUUACUAAGGUUUCAGAAUCCACCACUAAUCAACUAGUAAUUACCUAAUUAUUAAUUAAUCCCCAAUUUUAGAGUGACAACUCGAAAUCAAUUUAUAUCAUCUCAUGGAUAUAACAAUUAAGCCCAAAUAAAAUUAUUCUUGUGUUGGUUCUUUUUCUUCUUAAUAAUAUGAUAUCUAAGCAUCCCAUGUAAACAUAUUGAAUAACAAAGAGUCAAAGUUUUCCGAAGCACUCUGUGUAAACAAUUUAAUGAAAGACACAGAAUCAAAGAUAAUCAUGUAUAAACUUUAAAGACUCAAGCAUAAAUUUAAUCGGAUAUUAAUUGUAACAAUCAAUAAUACAUGACAAAAUUGAUGAAAAUUUUUUAAUAACAUUCAACUAAUCAUGUGAAACACGAACCAUAAAUAUUAAAGAACAUAUGUAGAGAAUUAAUUAAAUAAAAAGAUAAUUAUUUCAUUAAAUAGGGUUUCAUCUUUAACCUCAGUAUAAAAAAAUUAGUUAGACAUACUAAAAUAGAGAAUAACAAAUAAAAUAAAAUCAACCAUGGAGAAGCCGAACUGUUGUUGCUGCUGCCGCUCCUCUUCAAAGUCAAAUACUCCCUCUUUUUCUCUCCUUUGGCGGCUGCCUUCUCAAAAGCCAAAGUUGGCUUUUUAUAAUGCUUAGCCACCCACUGACUUAACAAAGCCCACUCACCAAGCCCUUUUUAAAUUGUUUCCUUAUUAAGGGUUGAAAACUAGCCACACGUUUAACUUAAAAGUAAAAGGCCAAUUAAUAGUUUCUUCUUUUAAUGCCCUGCACAUGCAUUCCAAAUUGCCAAAUCUUUGCUUUCCAAAUGCAUGCCCACCGUUCAUUAUUUGAUGAGAUUGACUUCCAAUUUUGGUCUUCUUGACUUCCAUUAAUUCUUGACUGUAUUUUUGUCUUCUAAUUUAAUCUUUAUUCCUUCCCAAUUUGAACUUCUUCAUGCCCUUUUUAUCCUUAAUCUUCAAUUAAUUUCCUAUUCAAUAAAAUAAUUCAAUUAAUUAAAAAUAACAAAUAAAAAUAACUAGUAAAUAUGUAAUUACGGGUAAAGUAUGUAUAUAAAUUAUGAUCAUCAAAUGGCAAGCAUGAUUCAAUCCAAUACAUCCUCCUCUCCUUCAAAUAAUUUCCUACCUCAUAUCCUUCGUGCACCUCCUCCCAUUGGUCAUCCUAUGAUGACCAGAUCCAAGAAUGGCAUAUUCAAGCCAAAGUCUUAUCUAUGUGCUCUUUUAGCCUAAUCAUUUGAACUUUCCUCUGUCUCUCAAGCUUUAUCUGAUCCAUUAUAGUUCAAAGCCAUGCAAGAAGAAUUUCAAGCCUUACAAGCCAAUCACACAUGAGACUUGGUACUACCUACUGCUCCUGUUAAAGUGGUUGGUAACAAAUGGGUUUUUAGAAUAAAAUACAACCCUAAUGGGUCAAUACUAAAGUACAAAGCACGGCUGGUUGCUAAAGACUUCCAUCAGAUACAUGGUAUUGACUACACUGAAACCUUUAGUCUAGUAGUAAAAGCCUCUACUGUCAGCAUUACUGUUAUGAAUAAUUGGGUUCUUCGGCAAAUAAAUGUCAAUAAUGCUUUUCUAAAUGGUAUUCUUGAUGAGGAAGUGUAUAUGACACAUCUCGAAGGAUUUAUUGAUCCUCAUAAACCUUAGCGCAUAUGCAAAUUGAGGAAAGCUAUCUAUGGUUCGAAACAAGCUCCAAGAGCUUGGUUUGCCAGACUUAAAACAACAAUGCUUUCUCAGUGGCAUUUUUAGAGCUCCAAGUCAGACAAUUCACUCUUCUAUAAGAGAGAAAAUGGUCAUUUACUUUUGGUUUUGGUAUAUGUGGAUAAUAUUAUUGUUAUUGGUUCUAGCUCAGCGAAAGUUCAACAAGUAAUUCAAGAUAUGUAGAAGACUUUUGCCUUGAAGGAUCUAGGAGAACUCAACUAUUUUUUAGGCAUUGAAGUCUCAAAACUUUAAAAUGGCAUUCAUUUAUCCCAGGCUACGUACAUUGCUGAUAUUUUGGCAAAAGAUGACUUAGUUAAUUGUAGUCUAGUGCCAACACCUAUGUCUACAGGUCAGCAACUCACCAAAGACUCAGGUUCUGAAAUUUCAAAUAUUUCUCAGUAUAGAAGCAUUAUUAAGGCCCUACAAUAUGUUACUCUCACUAGACCAGAGAUAGCCUUUACUGUCAAUAAGCUUAGCCAGUUUCUAUCUAAUCCUAGAACUACACAUUGGGAGGCUUGCAAAAGGUUGUUAAGAUAUCUAAAAGGCACAAUUCAUUUUGGUCUUCAAUUUUACAAUUGUGGAGCUAUGCAAAUCAACUCUUUUACAUAUUCAGACUGGGCUUAUGAUCGGGAUGAUAGAAAAUCAGUAGUUGGUUUUGCUAUUUAUCUAGGUGCCAAUCUGGUUUUAUGGUCAUCCACGAAACAAUUAGCUGUCUCAAGGUCCAGUACAAAAGCUGAGUACAGAGCUUUGGCUCAUGCUGCAUCAGAGGUCAUUUGGAUAUAGUUUUUACUUGCUGAGCUAAGAAUUCAGCUAAGUACUACACCAAUUAUGUGGUGUGAUAACCAGGGAGCAAUUGCCUUAGCUUAUAAUUCAGUUUAUCAUGCUAAAACAAAGCAUGUUGAGCUGGACAUUCAUUUCAUCAAAGAUAGAGUGGGAUCAAAAGAAAUAGCUAUUUGUUUUGUGCAUAGUGAAGAUCAAACAACAAAUGUCUUAACUAAGGCUCUUACUUUCACUUAGUUCCAUUACUUGCGCAGUAAAUAAAAUGUUUAUCCCAGAAACACCAGUUCCAGAGGGGAUAUAAGUAAAGAUGAUAAUUUGUGAAGAAUAAAAUAAGGGAGUAAUGUGAAAAGCAGAAACUCCAGCUUAAGAGGGGAUGUUAGUGAAACUGAUCCCUUGGAGUCCUGGAGACAAAACCUUGUGGUCUUAACAUGGGAAAGCUAGAAGACGAAAUCUUAUUGGUUUCCAAAUAGUUCGUCGAGGUUCAAUAGCAAUGAGAAGUGGUCUAGGGAAUAAAGCUUAUGGAAAUAUCACUUAGUUUACAGGAGUGGAAGAAGGUAAUAUCGACAUUUAAGCUUGCUUUUUACCGGAGACACAACAGGGUAUGGGACAUGAUACAGAAUUCAUGCCAUCUACGUGUUAACGUCUUUGGUGAUCCUAAAAUAUUACUUUCUAAUCAUUCAUUUACACGUUAUCACGUGCAAAUGAAUGGUAUCAUAAUUAGUUAAAAGCACACAAAUGAUAAAAAGUGAAUUCAUUACUAUAACUAUGCUUUAUUUAGGCACCUCAUGCAAUAAAUUAUUUCAUCUCAAAACUCAAUUUAAUAAUUAAUCCCAUGAACAUCCAUUCGUUAGAGCAUGACAACAAAAUUUAUGUAUGGCAUCUGUGGUAGAGCAUAAUAGUUGUAGAGAAAUGGAAAUUGAAAGGAAGGAGCUGGCAGCUUAUAACUGUGAUUCAAGUUUUUGCUUUAGAAUCUUUCAGAAAAAAAAAAAGUUUUUGCUUUAGAAAAUUUUUGACUCAACCUAGUAAACUGGUCAAUAAACUAUCAAAUUUGGGGCCCAAUUUGAUGGGCCUAGUUGGUUGCAGUGUUGGGUCUAGUUAGUCUCAACAAAUACUGGUCGUAGCCUCGUAGGCAGUUCGCAUUAGAGAUUUAUGAUGAUUGUAAUGUGUGAAUGAGUAAUAGAAAGCUCUAUUUAUUGGCACAAGGAGUAACCUUUGUGCGGUUGUGCAGAUAAAAAGAGAAAACAUGUAGUGGGUUAUAUGAAAUUAAAAGUAAUAUGUUGUUAUAAACACGAUUAGAAAACUCCUGAUUUAAGCCAUAAAAGCCUUCAACUCAACACCAAAGUAUUCAGGGAACUACACUCAUGGUUUGAAUAGAAAUGCACAACCAUGGUUCUAAUACCAAUGGCUAAAAUAAUUUUAAGCUUUACGGCAAUGAAUCCAUUCAACAUAUUUCAUAAGGGAGAAAAACUGCAUUUUAUCUUGGUUGGCCAUGAAAAAGACUUGCUGGUAAGCUUGUUUCUUGCCCGUUAAUUCAACCUUUUGUUCUUGGCUUCAAUCUCAACAGCAAAAUCAAGCUCCUCAUUCACUGCACACACACACAAUUAGGAGAAAGGAGAAAAAGAAAGAUAGUGUAUAAUGGAACUGCAUUUUAAAGAAAUGUGUAGAAAACAAUCAAAACCUCUACAGAAUUCUUAGUAUUUUUGUCAACACAAUACUUCUUCUUUUAAAGACAUUAAUGCCAUAGUACAAAACCUUAGCCUACAAGAUUUGUACACACAAAAUGAAAAAAGAGCCAAGUAAUUCAUGAAUAAAAAACAUAGAGCAAAGAAGGGAUAAGUAACAUAAACACGCACAUGAAAUUGGCACAGAUGAACAAAGAACGAGUUGCAAGCUCUUUAUUACCGAAAGAAACGAGCCCCAUAUCAUAUGAUCUCCCUACAAGCUUUACAACGAGCUAUCAUAUGCUUUCCAACUCUCAAAGAUUAACAAGUUAUAGGCCUUAGAAAUUGCCCUCGUAAAUUCAUUUUAAAGCUAAAUUUUCUUGCUAUUCAUGGGAUGAGCAUAUACUAUAUACAUAUUUUACCCUUAAUUAUAUAAUUGCUAAUUAUUUUUAUUUGAUAUUUUUAAUUAAUUAAUUAUUUUGUUGAAUAAAAAAUUACGUGGAGAUUAUGAAUAAAAAAAGGGCAUAAAGGAGCUCAAUUUCGGAAGCAUUAAUUAAUUGAUUUUCGGAGCAAUUAAGUAUAUUUGCAUGUGAAGUCAAGCAAAGGAAACCAAAUUCAACAAAUUGAUUCAUCCAUGCACAUGAAGACAAAGAAGAUUAUGGCCAUCACGUGAGAAGCAAUCACCAUUAUUGUUAGCAUGUGCAUGGCAUUAAAAAAGGAAUUCUAAUGCAAUUCUAAGUGGUGAGUACGUGUGAGAGCAAAACAAAUUAAAAGGCCAAGCCUUUCGGCUUUAGAAUUGGAAUGGUUGGUGGCUCAUUUUGGAGAUUAUAAAAAGAAAUAUGAACUUUGGCUUUUAAGAGGCCAACCGCGAGAAGAGAAAAAAGAGAGCAACGUUAGGCAUUCGGUAGAGGAGAAAAUAGCGGCAGAAGCUCUUUAAUUCUUUUAUGGUUGGUUUUAUUUUAUUUGUUGCUCUCAAUUCAAGUAUGUCAAGCUAAUUUUCUUUUACUGAGGUUAAAGAUGAAACCUUAUUCAAUGAAAUAAUUAUCUUUUUAUUUAAUGAAUUCCCUACAUGCGUGUUUUAAUGUUUAUGUUUUUUUAUUUUACAUGAUUAAUUGGAUGUUAUUAAAUCUUUUCAUCAAUUCUGUCAAGCAUUAUUGAUUGUUAGGAUUAAUAUUCAAUUAAAUUUAUGCUUUGGUCUAUAAAGUUUUUAUAUUAUUAUCUUUGAUUCUAUAUCUUUCAUUAAAUUGUUUACAUAGAGUGCUUAGGAAAAUUUUGACCAUUUGUUAUUCAAUAUGUUUACAUAAGAUGCUUGGAUAUCAUACUAUUAAGCAGAAAAAGAACCUACAUUAGAUUUAAUUACUUGGGCUUAAUUGUUAUAUUCAUAAGAUGACAUAAAUUGAUUUCGAGUUGUCACUCUAAAAUUGGGGAUUAAUUAACAAUUAGAUAAUUACUAAUUGAAUAGUGGUGAAUUCUGAAACCUUGAUAAUUUUUGUCUUAUUAAAUUCUCUUUUAUUUUAAUUGCCUUAGUUUAAUUAGUUUAAUUUAUCUUAAAACUUAAUUUGCUCAACUAUUUUAGAAUUAAUAUUAAUUUUAGAUUUAAAUUAGACUUUUCAAUUUAUAACAAUCCCUGUAGGUUUGACCUCAUUACCACUAUUCUAUUUUUAAAUUCGUGUGCUUGCAAGUAUAUUAAAAUUUUUCACAAUAAGUUUUUGGCGUCGUUAUUGGGGAUUGUGCCAGAAAGUCAGUUUAAUCUAGAUUGAUUUGAUUUUUCCAGUAGUUAUAAUUUAAGUUGUCUUUUAUUUUUAUUUUAUUUUUUUAAUAAAAAACACAAAAAAUAUUUAUUUGUCUUUAAAUUUAUUGUUUGGUUGUUUGAUUUGUUUUAUUUUAAAUUCCGUUUAUUUUUAUUAUUGUUGCUUUAUUUUCCUUUCUUUGUCUAGUUAGUUUAUGAGUGUUUGGGAACGCGAUUCAACAAAUCGUUUGGUAAGAAAAGAGUUUAAAAUUGAUAGUAGUCGAGUUAGUUCUUCAAAAGUGAUGGAUGACCCAAAUAGAAUAUUGUCAGUACUUCCACCAGUACAAGCAGAGAAAAUCCUUAGAGAAUCUUUUUCACCACUUGCAGCCAACCAACCAUCUUGUAUUGUGUUGCCACAGACUACAUCAACACACUUUGAACUCAAGCCCUCUGUCAUUUAGCUUUUACCAUCUUUCCAUGGGUUAGAGAGAGAGGACCCAUAUUUGCACAUUAAGUACUUUUUUGACAUGUGCUCUACAUUUUAUUUUCAAAAUUUUAAUGAUCAGUCAAUUAGGUUUCGUAUGUUCCCUUUCUCAUUAAAAGACAAAGCGGAAGCUUGGUUGAAUUCACUUCCUGCUAGGUCUAUUACUACUUGGGAUGAAUUAAGUAAUAAGUUUUUUACCAAGUUUUUCCCUAUGUCUAAAACAAAUGUCAUUAGGAGAGAGAUAAAUGAUUUUUGUCAAAGAGAGGGUGAACAAUUUUAUGAGUGUUGCGAAAGAUUCAAUGAUUUACUCCUCAAGUGUCCCCACCAUGGUUUUGAGAAAUGGAGACUUAUAUAGUGCUUUUAUAAUGGUUUAACUAUAUCAAAUCAUCACAUGAUAGAGUCUAUGAAUGGUGGGAGAUUUUUUAAUUUACAUGAAGGGGCUGCAUGAGAUUUCUUUAUUUUACUUUUUGAGAAUUCUCAACAAUGAGAUUUUUCAAAUCAAAGAAAAAAAUGAUCUCAAGUUUCUAGGAAAGUCUAUAUGAAGUUAAUGAAGAUUUUGAUGUUAAGGUCAUUCUAGCUACACUUUCUAGGAAAAGUAGACGCCUUAACUCUGAACCAAUCAAUGAAUCAUCACCCUAGUGUACCUAAUGAGGUUUGUACUCUUUGUUCUAACUUGUCUCAUACAGCACAUAAUUGUCCAUCAUUGCCAGCCUAUCAAGAGGCUUAUUAUGAGCAAGUACAGGCCUUACAAUCAUAUGAAAAAAACCUUCAAUAGUCCAUAUUCAUCCACAUAUAAUCCUAAUUGGAGGAACCACCCUAAUUUUUCUUGGAAACAAAGUCAGCCUUUAUCAAACCAAGGAGGACAACAAUUCAACGUACCCAAUCAACAAUUUGUCCUUACUAACCAAGUAUAUCCUCCUGCCCAACAGCCUAUGUCUCAAUUUGUUACACCUUAGCAAAGAAAACCUUUUUCAGAUGAUACACUUCAAAGUUUCAUUCAGUCAACCCAACAAGCUUUUCAGUCAAACACUCAAGCUAUUCUAAAGCUUGAACAUCAAUUGGGUCAAUUAGCAACUGCUGUGGCUGAGAGAAAAAAAGGAAAAUUCCCAAGUCAGCCAGUUCUUAAUCCUAAAUGAGUGCAUAAAGUUGGAUCAACUUCAAGCCAUCAGUAUAAAGAAGCAAAAUCUAUUAUGACCUUGAGAAAAUGAAAAAUAUUUGACAACAAGGUGGAGGUUCGAACAAGAAAGACAUCUGAACCUACUUAUGCAGAUCCAGUUCCAUCACAAGACUCAUCACUAAAUGAUCCAGAAGAAAGUAAUCCACCAGCUUACAUUCCUAAGGCUUAUUUUCCUUAAAGGUUAACAAAGGUAAAGAAAGAGACUUCAACAUGUGAGAUUAUGGAAAUCUUCAGGCAUGUAAGUAUAAGCAUCCCUUUACUCGAUGCUAUUAAGCAAGUUCCUCAUAUGCCAAGUUUUUGAAGGAUUUAUGAACUAAAAAAAGAAAUUUGCAUGUCACCAAAAAUGCAUUUUUAACUGAACAAACUAGCAAUUUACUUCAAUAUAAAAUGCCACCAAAAUUUAAGGAUCCAGGUUCCCCUACUAUCUCAUGUGUUAUAGGGAACCAAUUGUUUGAUAAAGUAUUAUUGGAUUUGGAUGCAAGUGUUAAUCUCUUGCCUUACUUUGUUUACAUGCAGCUUGGAUUACAUAAAUUAAAGUCAACUUCCAUUAUUUUGCAACAUGCAGAUAGGUUAAUGAAAAUACCUCAUGGUAUUAUAGAGGAUGUGUUGAUACAGAUUGAUAAAUUUUAUUAUUUUGUUGACUUUAUUGAUAUUGAUACUCAGCAUGUACAGGAUCCUAAGAAACACACCCCAGUUAUUUUAGGUCGUCCUUUCUUAGCUAUAGUUGAUGCUCUUAUUAAUUGCAGGAAUGGAAACAUGCAAUUAUCUUUUGGUAACAUGACCAUGGAAUUAAAUAUUUUUAAUGUUCCUGAUAACUCUAGGAAAUGAGAGUUAUUACAUCAAUUCUAAACUUAAAUCAAGAUCACUUAGAGAACAAAUAAGGUGUUUUUAUUACAUUUUGGUUAUAUUUUGCAUAAACAUUCAUUUUAGUUAAGUUUUAAUAAGUUUUGUUUGAAUCAAAGUAAUUGGUGCUAAAAACAGGUGCAUAAUUGUAGGUUUUUAGAAAGUCUUAAUUCAUGAGAGGAUGGUGAGACAGUGGAUGAGCAAGAUGAGGAAAGAAGAUAGCUGCAGAAGAAGUAAAGCACAAUCGGGAAUAGUACAGUGUUGUAGCGGAUGUUAAAGCAACCAGUGCUAUAGCAAUCUGGGAGCAAUGCUGGAGAAAAUUUAGGCGUGGGUCAGCUGCAGAAUCGCGAUUUGCAUGUUUCCUAAUUUAACUCAUGCACGCUUAUGAACUUUUAUUUUACUCUAGUUUGCAGAAUAAAAGAGAGGCGUGCACCACAUAGAGAGGCGGCAAGAGGAAUUAUCAUAAAAAUCAUUAAAGAGAAAAAGAGAAGAAGAUCAGAAUUGAAGAGUGCUGUUUCGGCAACAUUGAGGAAUCUGGCAGAAUUAUUCGAAUUUGUCUUUCACUGUACUCAACUAAUAUUUAUCUUCUUCCUUUGAUUGUUUUAAUGUAUCCCGUGAACAACAUAUUUUUUUUUUUUUUUCUUAUUCAAAAUAUGAACUAUAUUUUCUUGUAGUUGAGUGACAAACAAUCCAAUGGGUUCUUGACUGUUCUUAUGUGUUUGAUUUUUUUACAAAUUUGUUUUCCAAGUCCAUUGAUUUUCUGCCUCUCUUACCAAUCAUGUUAGGCUUGGAAAUAUCCACUUUGGUAUUAUUAUUUUAUAAAUUUUAAUUAUUUUAAUUAUUUAUUAAUUAUUAGUAUUAUUAUUGUUAUUAGUUUUAUUAUUUUAAUUAUUAUUAUUGAUUAAGACUAGAAAGUGUACAUUUGAUAAAAGUUAAAAUUAUCAUUUUCCACUUACAUUGUUGAUAAGACUAACAAUGGCAUCAAAUUUACAAAUCCCUAACACAUUUUAUGAAUUUUCUAUUUUUAUUGGUUUUAAAGUAUGAUUUUUGUGCUUUGUAGAUAAAUCCCUAAAUUCAUGAUGUUUGGAUCGAAAAAGUGAACGUGAAAUUUAGAUUCUGGAGACUCAAAAUCCUUUAGAAGAAUUGCUACCCUUUUGAUCCAACAUUAAUUAUAAACGGUUGAGAUCAUGCUAUGUGUCUAAGCUAAAGUGCACCUUAUUGUACUAGAUUUAACACUUAUCAAUUUGAUAGAUCAACUAUCUUGACAAAUGAGCCUAUGGAAGAUCCCAUUUUGACCUCAUUUAUAGCCAUUGAUUAUAUUGAAUCCGACUAUUCAUAAUGGUUGCAAUUUUAAACCCUUGGAUUAUAUUAGUAAAGCUCAUUUAAAGGUUGUGGUUGCAAGCUCAUCGAAAAUAUUAUGUAAAUGUCCAACUUUAUCAACUCAAAAUUUGCUUAUAUAAAGGCAAGAGCUCUCACAAAUUUGUGUAGAGAAUUUAGAGAGAAGUUGGUAGAGAAUUGGUAGUGGAUUUUACAGGUGAGUUUUGUAGAGAAAUUUAAUGUAAAUCUAAAGUGAAUUUUACAGAAAAGCGUGAGUUUGGUGUAAAUCUAGAGUGAAUUUUAAGAAAAAGUGUGAGUUUGUUGUAAAUCUAGAGUUAAUUUUAGACCCUCAACAUUUUUUUAAUUUAAACUAUUCCUUAUUAAUUUUCUUUUUUACAAUUAUUUUUAUUUUAUAAUUAGCUAUUAUAUUUUUAAAUUCCUUAUGGGUUGACUCGAGAUUCACAAGUUAUAGUACAUCUAGACACUCUUAUAUUUGGGAGUAAUCAACUAUUUUUGAGUCAUGUUAAUUAUCAUUAUUUAUUAUUAUUGUCUUUAUUGUUAUUUUUUUAUUGUUAUUAUUAUUGUAAUAGAAACAAUUAAUACUUAGGAUAACAAUUAAAAAAAGAUAUUUUAGUAACUUAAAAUAAUUAAUUUUGAUUUUAAGAUAAAGUAAACAUAUUAAUAGUAAUAUAAUUCUGACUCAUAUAAUUUAAGUAAAUAAUUUAUUUUAAUAUAUAUUUUUCAUUUUAAUUUCAACUUAUUCCUAUUAGUAGUUAGACUUUCACCUUUGGAAGGCUCCAGGACUUGCUUAUUAGACCUUUGAUUUUUCCUCAAUUUGUUAUUCAAGUCCAUUGACUUUCUACCUCUAUUACCAGUCAUGUUGGGCUUGGAAAUCUCCACUUCUAGUAAUAAUGAGCAUGAACGUGGGCCAGAUUAUUUAAAUGGAUUCUCUAUUGGAGGUAGAUUAUUAGUUGUAAUAUUAGGAUCAUCAUUCGUCAGCCCCCUUCGCCGCAGAGAAAUUUUCUUAUCUUUAAAUUCCUGGCCCCCCUGUCUGUUGUGAAGGUUGAGUUGUGUUGGCGUUACCUCGGAUGUGAAGAACUGGCCAGAAUACUUCCAUGAGGGGCCAUGUCCACUUCUUCUACAGUGCCUAAAUGACUGCCCAAGAAGUGCCCCACCACUCUUUUGUCAAACAUACAAUCGGCAAAUUGUGAACCUAGUAACCAAAGUGACGCAUGAGAGAAAUCCAAUCAAGUUUGGAUAUGUCCCCCUUUUACCGUUGGCUGGACUAGACAAAUUUGGACCAUUCCUGUUAGGCUGAACUUUUUGAGUACAUUUUGAAAGUAACAACCAUAGUGACAUAAAUAAUGGACAUAAUACCAAUAGCACCAACAGUCCAAUGAUCCUUCUUUUUUAUUUAUUUAUUUUUUUUUUUUUGUUGGCUACAUUAUAGUUAUUCACUUAUUUUAUUUAUACUUAUUACAUAAAUUCAAACUCAUUUUGGGUACUAUAGUCAAUGGGCAUAAUUGUGAAAAGAAAUUUUGGGUGACUACUUGUGAAGGGGUGGAAUUUUCCUCCUAACACCCAUUUUCUUAAGAAACCGAUUAUUAAAAUUUAAAAACUUAAUUUUUACUCUACACAUCCUCUAUAUUUCCAAAAAGCUGACCUUAAUUAAAGAUAUACUUUUUUUUUAUUUUUUUCUACAAAUUUGUUUCUACAUCUGCAGCCACUUCUUACCUCUUCUGUUAGCGUUCUCGCUUUGUCUUCAUCUCAAAAAAGUACUGAAGUUGUUCUCUUAUCAAUCUCCACAAGAGCAUGCAUAUUAAUAAGGAGAAAUGAGACUUAAAUAAAUAAACAUGACAUAAUUAAAAUAUUUAAGAUUAUUAAAAUAAUAAUAUUCUGCUAUAAAAAUAUCUCUUUUCAACUUCCAGCCUGCUAUAAUACUUCUUGAAAUUUUUUUGGGUCGCAAACUCGCUUGUCCCUGUUUUAUAUUUGAUUUGCUCAAGGUUCAUAGAUGAGAAAGAAACUAUGGUAUCAGAAGCACCAAUUUCUAUUAUGUUGACACUUCUUGAGUUCGUAUCAUGUUGUUAGUUAGCUGCACUUGGGACUGCAAAGCUAUUCACGUUUUGGAUAAUUAUUUUAUGUUUCAGUUAAUAAAUUAAGUUUGUCCUAAUCUUUAGGAAGUUGUUAGUUUGUUCAACAUGUAUCAGCUUAUGGCUUGAUUCUCGGUCACUUAGUUUCUCAAUUUUUAUUAUUUAUUGUAAGCUUAAUGCAUAAAAGAAAUAAGAAUUUCCAGUAUUGCAUUCCCGCAUAUCUUUCUUUGUUCUUCCUCAAAACUCUUUAAACCUCUGUUUUUAUCUUUCCAAAUUAACACAUGUGCAUUCGCUUUGUUUGUUAUUAUUUGCGAAAUACUCUUUUAAAUUUGAAAAAGGAGAAUUUUUAAAUGAACGACCCAGAAGAAAAUGAAUUAGGGUUUAAUGUUGGGAUGACUUCUCUUAGGUGAGUGUAAAGAGAAUUAUUUCUUUACUAUAAAUUAUCUUAUUUUGUCUCCAGCAUUAAUUUCCUUUAAGGAUAAUUUAAGAAUAUAAUUUUUAUCAAAACAACAGGUGUAAAGAGUAUUUUUAUGAGUUCAAAUAUCUUGGAAAGGGUGAGAAUAACUAAUUUCCUUAUACUCUCUUUUUAAUUAAAAUUUUUAAUGUUAAUUUGGAUAAAAUUAUCUAAUUAUCUAUCUUCUAUCUUUCACACACGUUUCUUUUGUUUUGAGGGUGGAUCUACGACCACGCUCACAUUGUAGUAAAGGAGACUAUAUAUAAGUGUGUGUGGGUGGGUGUGUGUGUACACGCUUAAUAAUAGGACAUUAGGAGUCUUACCUUUAUGAAUACUUACUCUAAGCAAAAUAGUUAUAUAAAAAUGUAGAAAAUAAAAAUGCAAUUCAAAUACAAGCUAUAUAUUCUUCUUAAAAAAAUAAAUUAAAAGUUUAAAUAUAUUAAAAUCUCAAAUACUUAAAUAGAAUGAUUAAAUAAAUUAAGCAACUAAAAAUUGAUAUCUUUUCAAUUUUUCAAAAAGUAUUUUUAGUUAAAAAUAAAAAAUAAAUUAAGCCUAUUGGACACUCAAUAGCACACAACUUUGAGCUUGCUUCAAUUUAUAGAAAACAGCUUCCCUUUAGCACAGCAAUUUCUUCAUUAAAUUUCUCAAACAACAUGAGCUAUGUCUAAUAGAGCUUCAUUGUUUAAAAGACAAUAGAAUUUUAAAAUUAAUGAUAAGAUACUAAUAACUGAUAAAAUUUGAUAACUUAAUAAUAAAAUUCAACUUUAUUGCCUUAAUUAGGACAAUAACUUGAUCAAAAUUGACUUUAAAAUUAAGGUGAAAUUGGCUUGGCCGUAAAGUGAGCACUGAUAUUUGUCUUUUGUUAGUAGUUGAUCGGUGGAAAUUGGAAUAAAAGAAGAAAAUGGAACUUGAAAUUUUGACUUAAGUAUCCAUUUAAUAUUUGUAUUUUUUAAAAAUACCUUAAAACAACCUUAUAGUUAAAUAUGUUAGCCUAAAGGGUUACACAUAAUGUAAUUUUGAUGAUAACAAAAAUGUGUCUUAAGCGAUUUAAUAAAUAUUGUAUUUAACAUUUUCACAAGUUUUUGAAGGAUAAUAUUUAUGCAAGUGAAUCAAGUGAAAUCAAGUUCAAGACACUAAACGGAUAACGGCGAAAUAAAGAAUAAAGUUUAGAGCUCAACGGAUAAAUUAUUGCGACAAAUUCUUGUAAAGCCGAUAUGAUUUAAUUGAUACAUGAUUUAGAAUUUGAGAAGCUCAAGAGUUUAUUUAAAUAAUUACUUUUCAUAAACUAAAAUGUUUUAUAUUUAUAAGAUAAAAUAUUUUGUGAAUUUGAGUAAUUUGGACUAAAAUAAAAAGUUUUACAAUCUUUGAAUUUAAUAAGUAUUAUUUUAAAUUCUGAAAUUGAACCUAUUUGACAACAUUUGAAAUAUUUUGCAUCAUAUUAUAAUUUAUGAAAGAUUAUGGACCCGAAUGUAAUUCAAACAUUUGAAUUCGGAAAGAGAGUGCGGCUAACCCCCUGAGGGCUGGCGGCUAGCCGUCUGAGGAAAAUCUCAUAUUCUCAACUUUUGGAUAAAAUUGUAAGGAUUUGAGAACUUUGACAUUUAUGAAUAUUUUGUUAAACUUUGAAAAGGAUGUCUUUGAAACAUAUUAUUAUAUAUUGGGCCAUAACAUAGUUUCAAAAAGUUUUGGGAAUGAUAAAUAUUAUUUAAAAAUUCUAAAAUUGGAUCUUUUUGUAAAAUUUUAUGACAUUUGGGCUAUAGUACAAUUACAAAGAGUUUUAGACAAAAAUAUAAUUUUAUGAACAGUGUUAAGUGGCUAACUGCUUGGGCGCGGAAAUUUACCUAUAACGGCUAGUUUUCGAGCUUUAACUAUAAAAACUCAACUCCAACUUCAUUUUAAAUAUUAAUGUAAGGAUAAACAAGAUCACAUAACACAUAUUGAGCUUCCAUUUCGCAAAUCAUCAUUUAUUGAAUCAUUAUUGUGCUAUUAUUUACAUAUCCACUCUUAAAGAGAGUUUUUGUUGUAAUUUUCAUUUCUCAUCAAAUUGUGAGUGUACAAGUGUGAGAAACACUUGGGGUGAAGAGAUUUGGGAGAUAAUAUCUUGAUUGUAAAGGUUAUUGACACAUUGGAAGUCAAUUGUAAGAACUUGAGGCCUUGAGAGGCUUGGAUAGUGAAAUCUUUAGCUUGGUUGGCUUGGAGGUGUGGACGUAGGCGGAGAUUGCCGAACCACGUAAAAAUUAUUGUGUUUGAUUUCUAUUCCCUUACUAUUUUAUUAUUGUGCUUUACUAAAUUUAUUGUUUUUGUAUUUGAUUAAGGCAAUAGAUUAAAUUGUUUAGCAUAAGUUUUAAAAUCCCAAUUCACCCCCCCUCUUGGAUUGCAUAACUUGCAUUUCAAAAUAUAUUACAUUCUUUCUUUUACUUUUUUUACAAAAAUACCUUUCUAAUAAUAUUCUUGACAUUAAUUUAUUUAUUAAUAAGAAAUUAAUUAACAAAUUAACCAAUACUUAUUUACUAAACCAAUAAAUAUUGAUGUAAAAGAAUUAUUAUUAUUUAUUUAUGCAACAAGUUUACUAAUAAUUAUUUAUAAAUAAAAUUAAUAUCAAUCAACUUAAAUCAAUUUUUAUACAAAAAUACCCUUGCAAUAAAAUUCUUGGGAAUACCAAUAAAAAGAAAAAAAUUUUAUCAAAUUGACUUAGAAAUAACAUAAAAAUUUACACAAACUUUUAUAUUAUUAUAAUUUUUUUUUUUUACUUUUAGGAUUAACUUAGGAAAUUAUUUUUCUAUAAAAUAAUUAUUAGUAAGAUUGCUAUAAGGAUGUUUGACCCACUCAAAUCAACCCCCACUCUUUAAUUAACAAAAAAAUAUUACCAAAAUUACCUUUUAAAAAUAAAUAUAGUUUUUUAUUUUAAUUUUUGGUCUCUCUCAAAAUUCAUCAUAUUGAAUUCUUGAUCUUCUAAUAUAAAACGGCAAAGCCAUUAGUAAGAAUUAAAUCUGCAAUAAAAAUAUAAUGAUUUGUAUGGGGUUCAUAUCCGGAAAAACAAAAUAAAUUUAUAUCAUGGGGUUAUCAUUGUUUCUCUAAAUUCAUUUUACAGCUAAAUUUUCUUACUAUUCAUGCAAGCAAACUUUUCAAUUGCAUAUCAGACUGCGAUGGUGGUGAGGAAAAAAAAAUAAACAAUUUUUUUUUUACAUUUUAAGGAUAAUUUUAAAAAUAAAAUGAUUAAUUGAAUACCGGAAAAUAAUGAGAUCAAUUAAAGGAUCAAAUAUCAUUUCAAAGCUAUGGUAAUGUGCGCUGACAAAACCUCUCAACUGCCACCGGCGGCUGACCGAUCUACCAAGAAAGCAAAGUUUAAGGCUCAAGGGGCAGAUGGGGAUAACCCAUCUCCUUUGUCUUUCCGCGACAUGCUAAUGGACAUGCACGAACAAUCUGAUAGUGGGAAGUUUGGCCGGAAGGAUGACUGGGAGUUGGAGGAGGAUGAUGUGACGUACAGGGAGGAGGAACCUAUGCCAUUCAUAGCAUUCUCAAGCAGAGUUCAUGAACGGUUAGUGGAACCCUGGGAAAACUCAGUGGUGGUCAAAAUAUUAGGGCGCAACUUGGGGUAUCGUGUUCUCAGUUCUCGGUUGAACAGGAUCUGGAGUUCUACCACAAGGUUUGAAAUAAUUGAUUUAGCUAAUGAUUAUUUCCUGAUCCGUUUCUACAACAAAAAGGAUGUGGAGUAUGCCCUUACUGAGGGACCAUGGACGGUGAUGGGGCAUUAUUUAUCAGUGCAGAAAUGGUCUCCAGACUUCGAUGUAGUUAAUAAUAAAAUCAACCGCAUCAUGGCUUGGAUCCGUCUGUCUCAAAUGAAUAUUCAAUUUUAUCAUAAGAGUAUUAUCCGGCGACUAGGGCACAUUAUUGGUCCAGUCAUCAAAAUUGACAAUAACACAAUUACGGCACAGAGAGGCAAAUUUGCUCGUCUUGCGGUUGAAUUAGAUCUUCAGAAGCCUCUAGUUUCUCAGUUUAAUCUUGAAGGAAGGAUUCAAAAAGUGGAAUAUGAAAAUUUGCCGACGAUUUGUUUCGGUUGUGGUAAAUUUGGCCACUUCAAGGAUGCAUGUCCUGAUAGUGCUGACAUUAACAUCAUGGCCAAGGACAAUCCAGCCCCUCCUACGGAGGCUGAGGGGCAAGCCGUUGUGGUGGCUGCAGCAACUGACUACCGAGAGCCUAAAUUUGGAUCGUGGAUAGUGGUGGCCCGCCAGCCGCGCCCUCGUAAAGUCUUCGCCAAGGAUAAUCCUAAAGUUCAAGAUAAGGAUCGGUACAUGCCAAAAACUAGCCAGUCUCUGUUUGGUGUUUUGGAAGACCUUGAUAUUGAGGAUGAGAUCUCUCAAGAUCAUGAUACAGACCCCGGUUCUCAACGGGAACCUAUGAUGCAUGUAUCGGAGAGCAUCCAAUUCCUAGCCCCAAAACCUCGGAGCAUGAAAACGAAAAACCCUAGUCAACUCACUCGGAAAUACCCCCCUCGUCAAGUUUCCAUCACCAUUCCUCCAAGUCAACACGUAACUGAAAAUUUUGACCCCAAUACUCAAAUUCCCACUGAUUAUUCCCACCAAAAUAACCAACCCCCAGCCAUGCAUGGCAUGCAUGCUCCACCCAAAUUUUCCACGUCCACUCAUUCUGCUCCAUCUAAUGCCGCCUCCACUUCCAUGCAUGGUAUGCAUGCUUAUCAUAAUCAUGGCCAACACAAUCCAGGUCCAUUUCCAGUAUCCAUCACCCUUAACCCGCUACACCAUAGUGCCGUAUCUUUCUCCAAGACUUUUUCCCCAAAGGCAACUAAUCAUCCCCCCUCUCAACCUGUUGGUGACCCCUCUCUUGUUGGUGAACCACCGGACAAGGGCAAUCUGAAUGACCCUUACAUUAUGGAAGCCAUUGUUGAGCCUGAAGACUCCCCAGUUGCAAGCAGGAGUGGCUCUCCUUUGUCUACUACUGAUAUCUUAUUUGUUGCUGAUUCUGGCAUGGAAAUUGAGGCUGCGGCUUUGGAGUCCUCCCAGUAACUCCACUUGUUUCCCUUUCCAAUAAAUUUUAUGUUUAUUAGAACCAUGUUUUGGAAUUCUCAAGGUGCAGCGUCACCGUCUUUUUGUCGUUCCUUUUCGGUUUUAGUUCAGAAUUACAAGCCUUCCCUGGUUGUGUUGAUGGAGCCCCGUAUUAGUGGUUAUAAGGCUGAUCAUUUUAUUAAAAUAAGUGGCUUUGACAAAUCAUUCCGGGUGGAAGCAGAGGGUUUUUCUGGUGGCAUUUGGGUCCUAUGGAAAGAUAUUUUUUAGGUUGAGAUUGUUGCCAGCCAUUCUCAGUUUGUUCAUCUUCGAAUUUCCAACAACAAUAAUGUUCUCUCUUGGUUGACAGCUAUUUAUGCAAGCCCUAACCCCAGUCUUAGAAAAUAUCUUUGGAGUGAGCUAGAUAAUUUAGCUCAAACAGUUUAUGGUCCCUGGAUUUUGGGUGGGGACUUUAACACUAUUUUGUACGAUUCGGAAAAGAAAGGUGGGUCCCCUACAGGCACAGGAGCUUGCACUCUCUUCCAGUCUUGGUUCAACCUUCACAACAUGCAUGAUCUUCAAUCUCAUGGGCCACGUUUUACUUGGUCACGUGGAAGCCUAUUAAAACACCUUGAUCGCGUUAUUUGCAACAGUGAGUGGGCUCGUACCUUUUCCAAUUCUUUUGUGCUCCAUCUGCCGAAACUGAACUCUGAUCAUAGGCCUAUCCUGGUGCGAAGUACUGAUUUGUCUUCGAGAGUUUCGAUCUCUCGUCCUUUUCGGUUUCAAGCGGCUUGGCUUACUAAUGAAGGUUUCAAAGAAUUUGUGUCUGAAUCUUGGGAUCAGAACCUUCAUUACUUAGAUGGUGCUAAUAAAUUUCGUCAUAAGGUUACUGAAUGGAACAAGCAGUGUUUUGGGAAUAUUUUUUGGCGGAAAAAAUGUUUAUUAGCUCGUUUGGGAGGGAUUUAGCGGGCUUUAGAAAGAUAUUACUCUAAAGGGUUAUUAAAUCUUGAGAAACAACUAAACGCGGAUCUGGAAGAGGUGCUCACCCAAGAGGAAAUUAUUUGGCAUCAGAAAUCUCGGAGGGACUGGCUGCUUCUCGGUGAUCGUAAUACAUGUUACUAUCAUCACAAAACUCUUUCUAGAAGAAAACAAAAUAAUAUAGCGGCCAUCCAAAACAAUGCAGGGCUUUGGCUUUAUGAGGAAGAGGAAAUUAAAUCUCAUGUAAUUCAGUUCUACUCAACGUUAUUCUCUUGUGAUUCUCCUGACCUUCAGCACUACCCCCAUCCAAAUUGUUUUCCGCUUAUUAAGGAUGACUUGCUCCAUACCUUAAAUAAGUGCGUGGAGGAUGCUGAAAUUAAACAAACUAUCUUCAGCAUGCACCCUCUGAAAGCCCCGGGUCCUGAUGGUCUCCAUGCCAUUUUUUAUCAGACGCAGUGGAACACUGUGGGCUCUCCUUUAUGUCGUUUGGUGAAAGCUGUUUUCCAUGAAAAAUAUAUUCCUUUGGGGCUCAAUUCCACGCUGAUUGCUCUCAUUCCCAAGACAGAAAGCCCCUCCUCGUUGAAAAUGUACCGUCCUAUCUCCCUUUGCAAUGUUGGCUAUAAGACUAUCACCAAGCUGUUGGCUAAUCGCCUUCAAUCUAUUUUACCCUCUCUGAUUGGCCCCCAUCAAACUAGCUUCGUCCCUGGUCGUCAUAUCACGGAGAACAUCGUGAUUGCUCAAGAGGUUGUUCACUCUAUGCGCAAGAAGACGGGCUCUACUGGUUUUAUGGCUAUUAAAGUUGAUUUAGAAAAGGCUUAUGAUCGUCUCAGUUGGGAGUUUAUCAGUGAUACUCUGCGUGAAGCUCGCAUUCCUUCCGAUCUUAUUCAUGUUAUUAUGGCAUGCAUCACUUCGGUUACUAUGAGGGUUUUGUGGAAUGGGGAGGCUACGGAUGAAUUUUCUCCUUCCCAAGGAAUUCGUCAAGGCUGUCCAUUGUCCCCUUACCUAUUUGUCCUUUGCAUCGAACGGCUCAGUCACGGGAUUCGCAAUGCUAUUAGUGCCGGGAAGUGGCGUCCGAUCGGGUUAUCUCGCCAUGGAACACGUUUAUCUCAUCUUUUUUUUGCGGAUGAUCUUCUUUUGUUUGCAGAGGCUACAGUUGAGCAAGCUAGAGUUAUUUCAACAGUGUUAGCAGAAUUUUGUGCUUGUUCUAAUGCCAAAGUUAAUACAAGUAAAACUCUGCUUUAUUUUUCAAAGAACAUAGGUGCCAGAGAUGUCUCUGCAAUUUCGGGUCUUCUUGGCUUCUCAGUUACUUCUGACCUCGGCAAAUACCUUGGGGUCCCUCUUCACCAUUCAAGGGUUUCUACCAAUAUGUAUAAAGGGAUCAUCGAUAAGGUGGAGAAGCGGCUGUCGGCUUGGAAUGCCUCUCAUUUGUCCUUGGCUGGCCGCAUCACUCUAGCUCAGUCAGUUCUCCAGGCAAUUCCCAUCUAUGUUAUGCAGACUGUUUCCCUUCCUCGUGGGGUUUGUGAGAAAAUCGAUAGAGCGUGCAGGAGGUUUAUUUGGAGCGGUUCGUCUCCUCAACAGAAGCUCAACAUGGUUAGUUGGAAGAUUGUGUGCAAGCCUAAAGCUUCUGGCGGUCUUGGUUUCAAGUCUUUGGCAAUGAUGAAUCGGGCUUUACACAUGAAGCUAGCUUGGGGCAUAAUCUCCUCUUCGAAUAAUUUUUGGGUCCAGGUCCUUACUUCGAAGUACAAAGUGGAUCCUUACAACUUGCCUCCCGUCCUUCCAACACGCUAUGGUUCUCACUUGUGGAAGUCUCUUGGGCAGGUUUGGAGUGAGGCUCUUGCAAGCAGGCGCUGGAGUUUGGGUGAUGGUCAAUCUGCUCGUUUUUGGUGGGAUCUUUGGGUCACUGAUACGGUCCCUUUAAUCGCAUGCGCAACAAAUACUAUACAUGUGGGCAUUUUGGAUUGUAAGGUGGAAGAUCUUGUUGAUGUAAAUGGGGCUUGGUGUUGGCCUCGUUUUGAUCGAUAUCUUCCCAACCAUAUUGUUCUACAAAUAGCUGCUCUUCACCCCCCUUCCCACGUGAAAGGCAUGGACACUAUCUUUUGGGCUCAUUCAAAACACGGAGCUUUUUCUACAAGCUCGGCGUAUUUGGCUCUCUCUGAGUACGAUCCAAAGUCUGAAGAUAGAGAUUGGCAGUUAGUAUGGAAGUGGAAAGGCCCUCAAAGCGUGAGAAUCUUCUUGUGGCAAGCGUUUCACGUUGGUUUGAAAACUAAGGCUGAGUUGGCUCGGCGGCACUUACCCAUCUCGCCUUGUUGUGAUCGUUGUAGGGCUGUGUGUGAAGAUAUUACGCGUGCUCUACGUGAUUGUUGGUUGGUUAAGCAGUUUUGGCUCAACAUUAUUCCGACAAGCAAACGUCACAGUUUCUUUAAUUCUCGGCUUCAUCUUUGGCUAUGCUCGAAUCUGGUUGUUAAUCGUAAGGUAGGGAAUGUUUCAAACUGGGCUGUUUUUUUUGGAGUGGCGAUAUGGCGGAUCUGGUAUUGGUGUAAUCAGUUUCUCUUUAACAAAUUGAUGUUAGACCCUUUGGCUUUGUUGGUGGAUGUCCAUACAAGAGCUGAGAAGAUUCACAAGCUUCAUAACCACCUGUUGCUCACUAGGAAUAUUAGGACUCACAUGUGGAUUUCUUGGCAUCCUCCUGAGUGGCCCUGGUGUACUCUGAAUACGGAUGGUGCUCACAAGUCUCACGGAAAUUCUACUGCAGGUGGUUUAAUUCGAGAUCACUUAGGACGUUGGCUAAUAGGCUUUGGGAUGAUGAUUGGUUCUUGCUCUAUUACUGUCGCGGAGCUCUGGGGCUUAUAUCAAGGGUUUCAGCUUGCAUGGAAUUCUGGUAUCCGUAGAUUGAAAGUUGAAACGGAUAGCCUUUGCGUUACUCAAUUGGUGGCUAGACCUUCGGUGGUGACCAAUGAAUAUGCUCCCUUGGUCCAGGCUAUAAAAGAUUAUCUCAAAUUGGAUUGGCAUGUUUCCAUUUCUCACAUCUACAGAGAAGCAAAUUUUGCUGCAGAUUAUAUGGCGAACCUCGCUUUUUCUAUUCCGCUAGGCUUUACUGUGUACCCUUCCCCCCCUUUGGGCGUUAGGGCUCUGUUAUUGCAUGACUCUUACGGGGUUUCUCACCCCCGUUCUGUUGUUCUCUAGCUCUUCUUAGAGCCCCAAUUAAUCAAAAAAAAAAAAAAUCAUUUCAACAAAAGUAUUAUUAUUAUUAUUAUUAUUAUUAUCAUCAUUAUUUAUUUUUUAAACUGGUUCAAAUGUGCUCUAUUUCAUUAUAUUCUUAGAACUUGAGUUAAACUUGAAAUUGUCACUCUCUUUGCACAAUUUAAGAGAGUAGGUUCGCAUCUCAAGGAAUUCUAUAUUUCAUAUUUGUCACGAGUAACAAACAAAAAAAAAAAAGAAGAAAAUCUAGAAAUUGUAAAUGGAAAAUAUGAGAAAUUUGAAAUUACCUGCAAAAUGAUUUUAUCCAGUCAAGAUGAGACGGUGAUCAUUCAAGAUAACGAAUAGAUUCCUUUCAAGAUUACAACUGGACAUGAGCUGACAGCAUUUUUUUUUUCUCUCUUUUUGAGCUUUUGAGAAGAACAGGAGAGCACGUUUUUUUUUUUUUUCAUUUUUUUCUUUUUUUUUGAUGCUAGGAGAGCACGUUAAUUAAACAAACAAACACCAAUCGACAAAAUUAUAAACGACAAGAACAAUUAUUUCAUUCAAGUUUAUGUGGUGAUAAUUCAAUAUAACAUUGGGGCACGAUGAGGAUGGUCAACAGACAAAUUACCAUCACAAUAAACGUGUCAAAUAAUUGCAGGUGCGCCCCGAAGAGAGGAAGAAUCUCCAAAUUAUCGGAUAAUGAUAGCAGAAUGGUAUUGCUUCAGAAGUAAUCUUGUAUUAAUUCUGAAUUUGUCCUGAGUACUGAAUUAAUAAUCAAUAAUUAUUUUACGUGGCCCUCAAAUAAUUGCUGUCUAUUUAUCUAAUGUUCAGGAUAAGCUCAGAUCAGCACCGGAUCCGUUUUCCAAUUUUUCUUCCCCAAAUUCUGUUUCUGUACACUGUAAGUAUUUUUCAUCCUCAUUUUCUUGUAUCCAUUUUGCGUGGCCCUCAAAUAAUUGCUGUCUAUUUAUCUAAUGUUCAGGAUAAGCUCAGAUCAGCACCGGAUCCGUUUUCCAAUUUUUCUUCCCCAAAUUCUGUUUCUGUACACUGUAAGUAUUUUUCAUCCUCAUUUUCUUGUAUCCAUUUUGCGUUAUGUCACCAUUUAUUUUCAUCUCGACAUUUGGUUUCAAUUAGAUCACCGGAGGAAAUACGAUGGGAAGAACACAGAUCAUCUCAAAGAGCACCGUCUGUGCAGCAAUUCACAAGGAACCAAACCUUAGAAUCGAUUUAACUCUAUGGGAUCUUAAGCUCAUUCAAUUUGAUACCAUUCAGAAAGGACUUCUCUUCCGCAAACCUUCAGAGGAUAACACCGAUACCAGCAGCUUGAACUUGAUCCACCACCUCAAGACCUCCCUUUCACGUACGCUAGACUACUUUCCCCCACUUGCCGGUCGCCUAGCCACCAUCGAGCAUCGUGAUGACAGCAACACAAUUUCUGUUUACAUAAAUUGCAACAAUGCCGGCGCAGAGUUUGUGCACGCCAUGGCCGAUGGAGUCUCUGUUGCAGAUAUCAUUACACCUGUUUAUGUUCCUAAUGAAACUGUUUACUCUUUUUUCCCACUAAAUGGAGUAACAAACUGUCAGUGUAUCUCCGAGGCCAAGCCGUUGCUUGGGGUUCAAGUGACAGAGCUUGUGGAUGGAAUCUUCAUCGCUUGCACUAUCAAUCAC